AGAGACCAAGAUUGAUUCACGAUGAUUGAGGAGAUGUACUUGAACUGAGGAUGAUACAUAAAUGGUUUGGCAAUUUUAAAGUCUUCAUCUGAUUAAGGAUUGAAUAUUUUUAUAUAUUGUAUAAAAAUUUUAAAGUAUAUUUGUUUUAACGCUUCCGCAUGCUUAAGUUGUAUUUAAGGAUGAUCCUUCUGGACUUCAGGGGGGUCGUUUCACACUUUGCUUAUCAGCAUGAGUACUAAUUUCCAUGUAAUAUAAGAAGGAAAAAUAUAAAAACAUUACAUUACCAAACUAAGCAAAGAUAAGCUAGUUCCAUUGGAUUUGUACACACAUUACAAGAAACAUGCAUAUUAUUACUCAAAAUUCAGACAGUUUUAGCAUUGAAGCAUAAAUUAGGAAAAUAUUAAAGACAGCAAUAGAUAUAGACAUACGGCAAGAUGUAUCUCCAGGAGAAACAACUAACGACCUUGACUAAAACCUAAAAAUGUAGAUACUGAAUCCAACACGAAGUAGCCAGAUUAACUACAAGCAAAUUAAAACAAGUACACACUUAAGGACAUGGGUGGAAAAUUCCACCACCAGUCGCCCCGCCGGCUCCACCGCCAGCAGCACCACCGGCAACACCACCACCAAGACCACCCCCAGCACCACCUAAACCGCCUGCGCCGCCUAGACCACCAAGACCACCAAGGCCUCCGACGCCACCACCAAUUCCACCAUAUUUGCCAAUCCCUCCAAGGCCACCAAUCAACGGCAGUCCACCAAUACCGCCGGCAAAGCCACCCACGCCAGCAAACCCUCCAACGCCACCAUAGAUAAAAUUCUUUUUAUCAUCAAGGCCAGCACCACGAGGUGACUCAGCCUUUGGUGCAUCAGCAGCAUGCACGAUUGUUUCUUGCCAAGGGCUCUUUUGCUCAUUAAGAGCUCCAUUGCUUGGUAUCUUACGUGCCUCAGCUGCAUGCAGAACAACUAAAACAAGAACAGAAAUGACUGACAAAGUUGCCAUUUCUCUCACUCACUUAUAAAGCACAAUACAAUUGAGCUAAGUGAUCAUGCAUACGGUGGUUGUGUCUUUAUAUAGAGGGUAAUAACUUGUGAGGUUGUUGAUAGUUGUGAGUAAUAAAAGAGCUAUAGUAAAUGAGAGAGGAGACUUUACCAUCAAGAAUCUCGAGAAGAGAAAUUCUUCAAUUAUGGUUCAGACUGUUAGGUGAAUUAAAAGAAGAAAAAAAUUUAAGGCCGUCGUGUUUUGUACUCAUUCAAGUUAAUUGCCAGAUUUGUUUGCUUGAUGUGUUAAGCCACCAAAUGAAGCCAUGCGCGGCUUAUUAAAUUAAAAGCAGCCAGCUGCUUGCUUCAUUAAGAUCACCUGCAUGCUUCACUUAUAUGCUUCUGCUACUUGCUUGAAUCGGUGUAUAUAUAUGUGUCGAAAUUGAGAGGUGCUUGCCAAGUUAAUGCAUUUGCAACCAAGAGAGAAGCGAAGAAAUAGAAGUUGAAAAAGAGAAACGAAGAGAAAAAGAGAAAUAAAUGGAGAGAGAGAGAGAGAGAGAGAGGGGAGAAUGAGGAAAAAGAAAAAGAAAUAAGAAAGUUACGGGAAUUAGAGUUGGGUAGCUAGAAUUAUAUCAUGUGGACUAAUGAGUAACUGAUGUAUGAAUUUAAUCAAUUAUCUUACAGUUUUAAUGACACAUCUAAGUUUUAUAUCAAUUUUGAUAGUUAAAUUUUUAACCCUGUGUUUUGGAGAAAUUCAGGUUUCUAGAAAUCAACAGGAGCCCUAACAAAUUAGUAAUUGAGCCAGAAUUUUUGAGUGGAUUCCUAUUGUAUUAUGUGAAGCAUUUAGAUUUGAUAGUAUAAUUUAGAGUCAUGUUAUGAUUAUAUUGUUAACAUGAAUAUGUUAAUAAUAUUGAUUUUGAUGAUGCGAACCUAGCUGACUUUCUUGGUAUCUCUAGUGAGGGUCAUGAUAUUUACACCUCUAGGAAAGCCCUUUUCUUUGACACUUUUUGUCAAACUGAUGGAGUCCGUAAGAUUUGUCGUCGUCAAGACUUGUCUGAUGAGAUCUGUCUGCUACCUUUUCGGUCUCAACUUUUACCUCUCCAGGUUCGCAUCCUUCACACGAUUUUACAGCACAUAGUGACACCUAGGAAGGGUCACUCGGAUGAGGUUACGAGGUUGGACGUUGGUCUAUUAGCUAGCCUCCUUUCAGACCGUCCCAUUAACCUCGGCUAUGUUAUUGUGCGGCACAUGCUGAGUACUCCCGCGAUUAACCACCGCUUGCUUCCAUAUGGCAGUAUCAUUACUAAGAUACUACGACGCUUUGAAAUGCCUCUUCUUGAUACCGGUCAUAUGGAGACUAGACGGAUUGGUCCCGAGGCCAUGACUAGUAUUGGUUUUUCUAGGAAGAAUGGAGAGUGGAUAAAGACAAGCAACUCCAAAAAUCGGGAUACCUUGAUUGCUCCAGAGGACGAUCGGAUGCUCAACGAUGUCUAUCCUCCCGAUAAGCUUCCCGAUUUUAGAUUAGGAGCUCAUUCUCAUCCUCCGCGUCGCCGUUUUGUCCCUCGUCCUCCAGCUGACUCUGACUCUGAGGAGCGUGCGAUGGAUGCUGACAUUCCCUCCUCUUCCGAGCCGCCUCCUGCUCCUGAGCCUUCUGCUGUUCCUGAGCAGCCAUCUGCCUCUGUGCCACCUCCAGCUCCAGUUCAGCCCCCUACUUCAGACGUUAUGCAGCAGUUGAUUGCUGAUGUUCACCAGAUUUCGAAGCGCCAGCAGCUGAUUCUUGAUCGGUUGGACACUGUUUCCCGUGACCACCACCAGCUACGUUCUGACUUUCAGACCUUCCAGCAGCAGAGCAUUGAUCAGCAGCUUAAGCUUAUCGCUGGACAGCGCACUCUUCUCAGCUAUUUCGGUUAUGAUCCAGGGAGCACAUCUUCUCCACCUCCAUAAUUUCUGAGUUCUAUUUUCGCACAUACAUUUCAUAUUUUGGUUGUUUGCGUGUUUCCAUUUAUAUUUUUAUAUACAUUGUUACCUCUAUAUGCUCUUUCUAGAUUUUGAUGACAUAUUUUUGUGAUGUUCUUGAUGUUGGAUGACUUGGUAAUUGGUUGAUGAAAUUGUUGGUUUAUUGGAUAUUGAAGUGUUGGUUUGUUUGUUCAUGGCGUUGUUGGUUUGUUGAAAGAUGGAGUUGUUGUUAAUAUAUUUUGGAAGUGUUUUAAUCUCAUUUUGUAUUAGUGGUUUUGCUCAUUUUUAAAGGGAAACUCUGUCAAAAUUUUCGCUCGCCAAAACCGGGUAACUUCUUUAACGGAUUUGCGUUUUUCCUUUCUCUCUUUUCUUUUUGAUGAUGAAGGAGGAGAUAAUUAUGGGGAGAUUUAGAAUGAAUUUCAAAAUGUUUUCUUGAGCAAAAAUCUUUUUAUUGGACAUUUCUUAAUUUGGUCAUACAUUUAGGGGGAGCACAUAUUAAGGGGGAGCUAAAUAUUGAAUGAAGUUUAUCAUCAUCAAAAAGGAGGAGAUUGUUAACAUGAAUAUGUUAAUAAUAUUGAUUUUGAUGAUAACAAACUUUAAAUGGUUUUUGAUAAAAAUGUUGGAGCUAUUCCUUAAUAAACGAAAGCCUUAAUAAUCAUUCCAUUCAUAUUCAUAAAAGAUGGACUUUCAAAUUAGAAAAAGAUUCUUUGUAAAAUCUGGUUUAAAAUGUGAUUCUAGAAAUAAAAGGUGAACCGUUUUCUUUUAAACGGUGAACCGUUUUCUUUUAAACGGUUAACCGAUUAAUACCAAAGAGCAACAUAUUACCUAAGCUCUAACCGUUUAUGAAAAACGGAAAACACAAAAGAUGGGAAGGCUACUGGAAUUUAACGGCGAACCUUUUAUUUAAACGGUUAACCGAUAAAAUCCAGAAUGAAAGAUUGUACCUGGAAACAAACGACAAAAGCUUAAUUGAAACGGGUAAGACUAACUUGUUUUGCAAGUUACUGGAAACAAACGGCGAACCGUUAAUUACAAACGGCUAACCGAUAAAUUCUAGAAAGGUUAUUUCGUAUAACUCUUUAACCGUUUAGUAUGAACUAACAACUGAAGCUUAUCUUGCAGGUCUCUGGAAUUUAACAGCUAACAGGUAAUCCUAAACGGCAAACCGUUUAUUUGAAAUUUGGCCCAACGGUAACUUUUGACCAGCCUAAACGGUUAACCGUUAAUGGUUAAUGGCAAACCAUUUGCGGGCCGACAGUUUGUAACGGCUAGUUUUUCAGCUCCAAAUAUAAAUAAGCUCAUUCAAAUUCAAAGAAGAUUGAUCACAACACGACUAUUGAGCUUAUAUUCGAGAAUACAAUCUUCAUAGAGCUUUAAACACAUUCUUGCUUCAUCUAUUCACACAUUGGGCAUUGAUUUGUAAUCUUAAAUAUUGUGUGAGAGAAAAACAAUUUGUAAUCUUUUACUUUGAGUGAUUGUAAGUGUUGGGAUACACUUGGGUUAAGAGAUUGGGGAUAAUCUCUUGUUGUAAAGGUUCAUUGACACCUUGGAAGUCAAGUGUAAGCAUUUGAAGCCUUGGAGGCUUGCUUAGUGAAAUCCUCAAGCCCGGAAAGCUUGGAGGCGUGUACGUAGGCGAGGUUGGCCGAACCACGUAAAAAUCUUCGUGUUUAAAUCUCUCUUCCCUUAUCUUUUUAUAUUGUGAUUGAUUUAAUUGUUAUUGCUUUAAUUCGUUUUAGAUUUGCGUGAUAUUUUGUUUUAGAAUUGAAUAAUUUUUAGAAUCCCAAUUCACCCCCCCCCUCUUGGGUUGCAUAACUAGAAUUUCAUAUAUGUAUGCACAUUAUCUGAUUGAUUGACCAUGAGAUCUGAUUGCCAGUCACCAUAUGUGUAUUCUUUUCAUUAGAUGCUCAGUGCACACAUAUUAUCAGUUAGAUUGCUCUGCCCAUAUGAUUACAUUAAUUCUAUCGGGUAUGAGAGGUUUUUCCCCACUAUACUUGUGCAAUGAUGAUCUUGGCAAGUAGACAAUUAUUUUAGGUACUAAUUAGUGCAGUUUGUCAUGUAUGCUUUGUAUGAUCAACAUAAAGUUAUGUCAUAUGACGAGGUAUAAGCACUACCUUUAUAUAUAUAUAUAUUCGCUCAUUGAGCUAUGAGCUCAAUAUUUUUCUAUUUAUCUCAUUUCUCUUAAGGUUCUGCAGGAUUUCGUGAAGUUCAGUUUUGAUCAAUUAAGGUCAGGCUACAAUACGCAUUACUGCAUGACUUGUAUAUAUUUGAGAUAUAUGUAUGUAUAGUGACAUGUAAAACAUGAAUGUUUUGAACAUGUUUUUGAAUGAAUCAUGAAGCCUAUUUAUAUGUUUAUAGUCGAGUCCAAAGGCCAGUAUUAUAUGUGUGUAUUUAUCAGUUAAUUUAUGUUACGAGCUUUAGAUAUAAGCAUGAAACAGGUAAUAUAGUAACUAUAUAUAGCACGAUACGUCUCGAAUUUGACAAAAAGGUGGGGACAGUCCUAUCAGGUAAGGAUGGCAAAAUUAUUCACAAGGCCACGCGUUGUGGGUAAUUUUGUAGGUUGCAGGCAGAUUUUGUAUUUCAAACUUAAACUCGCUGCGAAUUGCGGGUAAGUUUGGUAUUGAGAAAAAAAUCUGCCGAAUACUCAUGCGGGUAUCCGCCAACCUGCAUUCUUUAUUUUAUUAUUUACAUUUUUAAUUUUUAAUCACAAAAUUAUAUUAAAAAUUAAUCAUAAAUAUAUGUAAAUUGGAGUUCUUAGUUCCUAAACCUAACCUAUAUCACUACAGCACAUAUAAUACUAUAAUUUUCAGUUUAAUAAUACUGAUAUUUUAUUUUAAUUUGAUUGAUUUUAUUUGUUUUCCUUUAAUGGCUCGAACCUAAUGAUUGCUUACUAAAGUUAAGUUCAUAUUUGUUUAAUUUAUUGUUAACAGUAGUUGUACAAAAUUUACUCGUUAAUAUUGUUGACAAUACUUAUAUAUUGAUUAAAAGAAUGAGUAAGAUAUUGAUAUUAGUGAUGAUGAUUUGCAUACAACAGAAAUAUUUUAUAUUAGAUUAAUAUAUUUUGUGUAUUUCGUUUUAAUCUUGAAAUUUUAAUUUCUUAUUUACAUUGACAAAAUUUAAAAUUAAGUUAUAUGCAGAUUUUUUAUGCUAUUAUUAUAAAUUUAUAGUUUGGAUUAUAUAAUUUAAGUUUUUAUGCAUUAUUAAAAGUAUUUUUUAAUAUUUGUGAUUUUAAAUGCGAAAACGUGCAAAAAAUCCAUCGUGGGCUGUGAGUAGGUUUGGUAAUUAUUAAAACCUGCGGUUGACAAGUUUUAAAAAAAAUAUAGAAAUCCACUUCAGAUUGUGGGCGGAUUAGUAAUUUAAAUUUUUGUGGUUACGGGUUUGGUAAUGGCAAAUCCACAGCGGGUAGUAUCUAUUGCCGUCCCUACUAGUUUCAGGUUUUAACUCUUGUGCAUGUGUAUUCAUUGAACCAACCAAUACUCCUUUCUUUUUAUUUUGGUUCAAUCAUGGGAUCAGUUAUCCAUUAAUAGGAUAAGGAUCAAGAUAUCCUUUCUUGAUCUUAUCUUUUUCUCUUGAUCCUUAUCUUUUUCUGAACAAAUUUUAUUAACGUGAUUGGUGGUUAAUAAAUUAAAAUGAAAAGAUAGUUAAAUCAUAAUCAUAAAUUAUCAUCGAAAUACAUGUGGCACAAGAUCUUUAGAAGAUUAGAAAUGCUCAAAUUAGGAGAGGAUCCUACUUCAAUAGGAUAAACUUCCUUUUAAUAAACAGUACAUUCGUGUUAAUUAAUGUUGUAUUUAAUUAUAUGGCUACAUAUUAGUGAUAUUAUUUCCCUCCUGUUGUUUUAAUGUAAAUUUAUAAAUAUAUUAAUUUACUCUCUUUAAUUUUAUUUCUUUAAGUUAAUAAUUAUAUGUGAUACUAAUUGAUUUAAUUAGUAAAGUUUUGUGAAGGAGUGUAAGAUUCAUGGCUACUAAUUAGUUUAAAUAAUAAUGGGUCAUUUGAAUUGGGAAUUUAUGUCUAAAAAAAAAAACAAAAGAAAAGCACUAGGCUGAGAGUAUAAUCCAAUAUACCGGAGAGCUGCCACUAGAUUCGGACUACUUGGUCUAGUAUGUGGCAAAUAAUCAACCUGAAACAAGGAAGUGACAAGUGGUUGAUCAGUUGCUUCAUUUUCCACCAUUAUAUAUUUAGUUGAUUAUACUUCCAACUCUUAAUAAGAAAAUCCAUUUGGCUGAACAAAGGAACAAUUUAAAUCUAAGAAAAUGAUUACUUUGAGACACACGGCUUCCAGAUUCCUUUGGGCCAGAAAUGCUUGGAGCCAAAGGGCAUUUGUGACUGCUACCCCCAUACUUUCACAAGUAAGUAUACACUUAAUUGCAUUGAUGCUUUAAAAUUAGGGACAUCUUAGAUGCUUUGAAGCAAUAUGUAUUACAUAUGUAUGGAUACUUUCACAAGCAACAUGUAUUUUCUUAGGAUUAGAAUUAUCUCAUGAUAUGAUCUUCUCCUAAGCAAAAAUAUAUGUGGGUGAUUAGUAAUUAAUAAAUAAAGAAACCGAAGAAGUCAAAUCAUAUCCAUACACUAUCAUUUAAAGACAUAUAACAUAAAAUUUUUAAAAGUUUAUGAGAGCUCAUAUCAUAAGAGGAUUUUUAUCCAUUUUCUUAUAUGGUAGUUUUAUAACGAAGCGUUUGGUGACUUAAAUUUGAUGCAAAUGGCAGUCCAAAAAGGACAAAGAGACCAUAGAGGCAUGUGAAAAUGUGAAAGAAGCCGCAAAUGCUGUUAAAGAAGGGGCCAACGCUGUUAAAAAAACUAGUGAAUACGUGAAAGCCACGGCUGCUUCAACUGCUGAAAAUGUAAGAACCUUGCUUCAUGUAUAACGUAUUGUCUUAGAGCCUGAGCAUUGAGUAAAGUUAUCUUUCAAAUUUAUCAUUUUCUGGCAAUUAAACUGAUCUAUGAGGAGUACUUUUCAGGUGAACAAAAUGACAAAAGAAGUAGGUGACAAAGCAAAGGACCUAGUAGUAGAUGCAGCCAAGACAACAACCGAUGCCAUCAAAGACAAAGUCAUGAAGCAUUAAAUUGGUCCAUGUUCAUCGUGAAUUCAAGAAUUACAUCUCACUAUUCAUUUCUGUAAUCAGCUUGAUUUUAUUCUGUAAGCAGUUAUAUCUUUUUCAAUUGGAAAAAUGACACUUUGCUCACUACUAUUUUUUUUUAAUAGAAUUUCAAUUUCCUUAUAAAGCACUGCUAUUUCCGAAAAAAAAAAGAAAAGGGACAAAAACGAUGUCGACCGGAGCCGAAUCUAUUCUCUUAAUUUGCAACAAUGUUUGAUGUGCGUGCAUAUUGUCUUGUCAGCUUUUUAUUUAUUUAUUUUUUUUAUCAUUUUACUUUAUUUAUACAAUGCACACAUAGAUCCCUAUUCCCUUAAAUUAGGGAUGAUAAUUUUACCAAUAGAUACAAAUAUUGUGUACUGUCUUAGAGCUUAAGUUUUGAGUAUACGAUUUUUUUAAGGGUUGAUUUGGGUUUACUGUUAGGGUGUUCGAAUGUGAUUUUGAAAAAUAAAUAAAAAUUAAUUUUGAUGAUUGGUAAAAAGAUUUUGAAAAUUAAUUUUGACGAAAUCAUCUCAUUUGAUUUUGAAAUAUAGGGAAGCAUCAUUAGUUUUUUUAAAUCUAAUUUUUUAUAAUUAAUAUUAUCCUUUACUACAUAAAUUCGAUAUUAUUUUUAUUUAAUUAGGAAAUAAAAUUAGUGAUUUUAACAAGAAUCAAUUUUUUUUUAACAUCAAUCACUUUGACAUAACACAAUAAAAAAAUUAAAAAGCACAAAUAUCGUUUUCUAAGUUAGCAGUUACUUCAUACAAUAAAUAAAUAUUGUACAUACACGUUUAUGUAUGUAUUAACUCUAAGAUUAUAAGAAUUUUAGCUAUUUGCAUUUUUAUAGUAAUUUAACAAUAAGAUUUAGGGUUUGUUUGGAAUUACUUUUAGGAGGCCUAAAAGUGAUUUUAAAAAUCUAAAAGUUAGUUUUAGUGUUUGGUAAAAAAAAAAAUCAAAACCACUUUUGUCAAAAUCAGCCCCUCCAACAGCUGAUUUUGAAAAGCAAUGAAGGAGUAGCUUUUAAAUUUUGAUUUUGAGAAUCAAUUUUAUCAUUUAAUACAAUUCCAUAAAUAUCCUUAAAAUUAUUACCUAAACCCAAAAUUAUUCUUACUGAAAUUGGAAACAAAAUAAAUAUUUUAAUAAUUUGUAUUAUAAUUCAUCAAUAUAAAUUUAUUACUAUCAAUUUGUUGGUCGAAUUAUUAUUAAAUUUGUUUCACUAUAUUAUUAAUUUAAUUAUCAAUUGUAAAAAAUAAAAAAGUAAAAUCAAUAAAUUAUAAAUUUUAUUUUUAGUAAAAAUUAUUAUAAUACACAAUUAAAAAUAUUAUAUGUAUAUGUUUUUAUAUGUAUAAAUAAAUUUUAUCUUAUAUUAUGUAUCUUUUAGUCAUUUAUUUUCUUUUAGCAGUUUAACAGUAAAAUUUACCCAAACGUCCAUAAUUACUUUCAAAAUUCACAGCACUUCUUAAAACAAAAUUUACCAAACACUUAACUGAUUUUCUUCACAACUGAUUAUUUCUACAGCACAACUAACAGAAAUUAUUUUAAAAGUUACAGCAUUCCCAAACUGGCCCUUAGAGUCCAUUCAGGAUUGCUUUUGGGAGGCUUAAAAAUAAUUUUGAAAAGUUAAAAGCUAAUUUUGGUGUUUGCUAAAUAUUUUUAAAAAUUACUUUUGGUAAAAUCACCCCAUCCUACAGCAAAUUUUGAAAAGUAGAGAAGAAAUAGCUUUUCAAAAUCUACUUUUAAGAAUCAUUUUUAUACUUAGUACAAUUCCGUAUAAAUCCUCAUAUUUAUUAUUAAAAUCCAAAAUUCUCCCUAGUAAUUAGGAAAUAAAAUCACUAACUUUAAAGGGAUUAUUUUUAUUACCAAUUAUAUGGAGAUAAAAAAAUAAUAAAAUAAUAAAAUAAUAUUAUAAAAUAUUUAUUUUAGAUAUCAACUAUUAUAUAUAUACAAAAAAAGUAUUUUAUAUACAUAUUUAUAAAUACGUAAAUAAAUUUUAUUUAAUAUUAUGUUUAAUUCAAUCAUUUACAUUCUUACGUCAGUUUAAUAGUAAGAUUUACUAAACAUAUACAACUACUUUUAAAACUCAAAGCACUUUUGAAAAUAAGUUCUGCAAAACAUUUAACUUAUUUUCUUCACAGCUAAUUAUUUUUAUAGCACAACUACUAAUAAUUAUUUUUAAAGAUAUAGUAUUAUUAAACCGACUCUUUCCAAACAUAUAUGGCUACCUUUAAAACUCACAUCAUUUUUAAAAAUAAAAUUUACUAAACACUUAACUGAUUAUCUUCAUAUUUAAUUAUUUGUGUAGUAUAAGUAACAACAAUUAUUUUAGAAACAACAAUAUUAUCAAACUAGCUCUGAGUUACAAUUCAAGCUUUCAAUCUCAAAUUAUUUUAGAAACAAUAGUAUUAUCAAACUAGCUCUGAGUUACAAUUCAAACUUUCAAUCUCAAAUGAUACAUCAAAUAUUUUUUUAGAACAAUUCUAAUUUAUUCUUAAUUUGGUAGCAAUUAAUUAAACAUUAAAACUUGAUCCUAAAGUUGUAUACUAUAAUUUUCUUCACUUUAUAGGUUGUUGAGGUGAACAAAUUAAACGACUUCAGAAGAAGUGGGUGAUAAAGCAAUGGAACUGGUCAUAGAUGCAGCCAAUUGAUAACCACAGAUGUCAGAGAAGACAAUUAUGACGCAUAAAAUAUGCCCGUGUUCAUCAUCAAGUCAAUAAUUAAUCAGAACAACUCGAUAUUUUAUUUCUGUAAUUAGUAUAUCCUAAAGUCCACUUAUCAUUUCUGUCCUCAUUUUUAUAACUACAAUCGGUUUAAUUAUUAGCUCUAGUUAGUUUUAUUUUAAAUUAUCUCUAUUUGACAUUAUUAUCCUAAUAUUCAAGAAUAUAUGUGAGUUUUAACAUAUAAGACCCUUCUAAUUUUUUGACAAAUAAAUUAUAUUAUAUUAACAAUUAGGUUAUUGAGAAGGAGUUAAAAAAUUGAUUUGUGGUUUAUCCAUCCCUCUACCUUUUUUAAAAUUAAAAAAAAAAAAAAGAUUAACGACAAUGUUAUAAUGGUAAAAGAAUAUGUAUUUCUGACUUUCAGUUGCAUUUUUAUGGGAGGAAUGUAAUAGGCAACUAAAAAAAUUGGGGAUUAAGUGGAAAAAAUGAGAAAACAAGGAGGACCUAAGUGUCAUUCACCUUUUUUUAAUAUCUAUUUAUUUCCGUUAUAAAGCCAAUUGUCUUGAUUAAGGCGUUAAUUAAUUGAUUGCUUUUCAUGACUUUUCAAUAUGGUAACCGAUCGUUGAUGAGGAUUCGUCAUUUCUAAAUUAAAUAAAAGCCAAUGAAUUUGGCUAUAUAUUUAAAAAUGGUCAGAGGGAAAUUGCAAAACAUAUGAAGGCGUGACUGGUUGCUCUUUAAUAUGGUAACAGAUCGUUGAUGAGGAUUUGUCCUUUCAAACAAAAAAUAAUAAAAACAUGAAUGAAUUUGGCUAUGAAUUUAAAGUGGUCAAAAGGGGAGUUGCAAGCGACAUUAUUUUAGACGCAAUUCCAAUUACGAAGAAACAAAAAGAAUGGUUUCUUUCAGCCAAAAAAUGCUAUUGCUUAGUCUUAUUAUUUCAUCGAUUUGUAUGAUGAGCAACGCCGUUCGUAGAAGGCAUGUUAACAUCACAAAUAAAAUAGGAAAGAAUGUUUUAGUACGUUGCCGGUCCAAGAAUGAUGAUCAGACCUACUCAGUUUCAUUCAAAAAUAACAUUUUUCGAACUACACUAUUCUUCUGCAGAUUUACAUGGGAUGACAAGCUGCAUUGCUUCAACAUCUAUGAUGCCCAUAGGGAUGCCUGCACUAAUUGUAACUGGAGUUUAUUUACAGAUGGCCCUGUUUGGCCGAGCCUCCAAAGAACAAGACUACGUGUUUUAUCUACCAUUAGUAUCUAUCUUUAUUCUUUUGUCUUACCGGUAUAGCUCUAUUGGCUGUGAAUGUGGUUUGCAUCUGUAGUCAUCUAUGUUCGAGUAACAAAUGUUCUUAAUAUUAAAAGAACUAUAUGUAUUUUUGAAAAUUAUAUAUGUGGUAAAUUUUUUUAUCAACCAAUAAAACUCGGCUCCGUCUAAAAUGCACCUGUCACACCAUGCCCCACUUUUUUGUCUUUUUCAGAAGCAACCAUCGGAUGAGAUCAGAAUAAAUGUUAAGAUGCGAAAGAUGACAUAUGGUUAAACAGGUCAAGCAGGUAAUGAAAAGGUAACUAUUUGUGUAACAAAUCUCAAGUUAGAUUAGGCUCUUAGGAAUCGACUCAAUAGUCAUCAGCAGUAAUACUUACUUAAAUUAGAUGGCAUAUUAUUAAAGGAAAUAAAAUCGUUUCACUCUGUUUGCCUUCAUAACAAACCGAAACUCAAACCAAAUUUUCUUUGAUCCAUUAACCAUAAUAAUGUGAGGUGGAAAAAUAUUGUAUUCUUUUUCUUUAAUCAAAUGAUUUUUGAGAAAUAAAAAACUUGAUAUUAGUAGCAAUUUGUAUUUCAGAUUAGACUAAAGAUGUUGCAGUAAUGUUGUUGUCAAUAACAAGGAGAAAAUACUUUCAUAUUGAUAACAAUGACUAAAGUUAGAAAACAAGUAAUGAGAAUUUCGCUAAUGUAAUGACACAUGGAUAGAAAUAAGAAUUCAUUUUAAAAAAACUGGCUUGUAAGAAGUAGAAGUCUAAGUCCUUGUAAAUCCACCGAUGUCUACAGGGUAUAAGGAGCUCAAAUACUUAUAAGCCCACCAAUGUAGACGGCAGUUCAUAUUCUGGCUAGGUGACAUACCAAGAUCACGAGGCCAGGACCAGCAAUAGUGAGGGUCGUCCCCAAAGAAAGAACCUGCCCUGAUACUAACCACAUGUCAAUUAAGUUGUUGCAGUUAAUGACGAAACUGUUUACAAAUAAACAUUCUCUCAGGUUUCCUCUAUCCAAAAACACCAUUCAUUCUUGAUGUUGGAUAGAAAAAAAAAUCAUGAGAAAAAAAAUUUUCUUGUGCUGGAUUUUUCUCCAGGCAAAAUUCCCAUUCUUGCUUCCAAAUCUGCCUAUCGCAAUACAAUGCUGGCCACAUUCUCAUAAUUAAAUUCGACGAUCAAUGUUCAUAACCCAUGUAUUUUCAAAUUUGUAUUUACAUUAACGGCCUAUCAUUUAGAAACUCAAUAAUCUCCCACGUUUAGUUUGGUAUACCACUACCAGUUGCAUAAUUUUUUUUUUUUUUUGAAAAGAAAGUAUGCCUUUCGAUUGAUUAGCUUAAGAACAAGUACAUAAUCUCCGGUGGAAUUUCAUCCAACCAAAUUACAGUUUCCUUCUUUUGCAAAGCUAACUUUGCUAAUGAAUGAGCUGCAUAGUUACAAUCUCUAGGGGAAUGUUGAGCUUUGAAAUUCUGGAAAUUCUGCAGAUUUUCCUGAAUGUCAGAGAUCAACCAUCCAAUUUCAGUUAAGCUACUGGACUUCUUGUUGAUUAAGUCAAUAACUUCUAAUGAAUCUGAUUCAAAAAUUCCAAAAGUAAUAUGAGCUUUUUCAGCCACUUGUAGGCCCCAUUCCAUAGCUGUUGCCUCCGCCAUUGCCACACUACCAGGAAGCCUCAGACUUUUAAUUGCAGCUGCUCUGCAGUUUCCAUCUGAGUCUCUCACCACAACCCCCAACCCUGCCAUUUGAUUCUCAACAUCCACAGCCGCAUCAACAUUAACUUUUUGCCAUCCAUUUGGAGGAGGACUCCAUUGCUUUUGCCUCUCAGCAUUCCCCUUUGUCUUAUAAACCAUCUCCGGUUGUCUAAUCUUUUUAAAAGACUCCACUAUCGCCUCUGCAUUUGCUACUACUCUGAGAGGGUUUUCUUGUUUCCCUUCAAAAAGCCAUUUGUUUCUUGCCUUCCAGAUAGCCCAUAGUAAAGCUGCUACUUCAGCUCCCUCAACUUUAGCAUGCUGUCGUGGCCAAAAUUGCAGCAUCCAAACAAUGUCACACCUGUGAACUCCACGCAAUUCCUCUGCCAGAUUAGAGUACCUCCAGAUCUUCCUUGCCCUAUUGCACUCUACCAAGGCAUGGGACACCGUUUCUACAUGACAGUGACAACUUUGGCACAUUGGUUCCUGCAAAACCUUUUUUUUCCAUAAGUUUUCUGCUGUGGGCAAUAAAUCGUGAGCUGCUCUCCAUAAAAAAAUUUUCACUUUUUCUAGAAUUGCAAGCUUCCAGAUAAAACGCCAUAGGUUUUGAUCAUGAUUUGAGCAGCUUGGGUCCUCAGGGAACUUUAUUCUCAUAGCAACUUGGUAUCCACUCUUGACCGAGUAAUACCCUUUCUUAUCGUAGUGCCAUAUCAACUUAUCCUCUUUUGGUCUUUUUGGAAGUGGAAUCUGCAUUAUGGCUUCUGCAUCUUCUGGCCUAAAAUGCUGAACGAUCAAAUCUUCCCUCCAUUGUUGCUUCUCGUCUAUUAACUCCGCUACUGUGGUGUCAGCCCCCAUCGAAGGAGCUGAUAUUGGCUUAAAGGUUGUAGGUCUGGGGAUCCAAUUGUUUCCAUAAACCAGCACAUUCUGUCCAUUCCCAAUUCGCCAUCUCGCUCCUUUGUGAAGCACAUGUCUUCCCCAAACUAUGCUUCUCCAAACAAACGACGGUUUUGAUCCCAGGCCAGCAUUCAUAAAACCCGUAUGUUUAAAAUAUCUAGCCUUUAAGACUCUUGCCACCAGCGAGCUUGGAAAUUGCAUAAUUCUCCACCCUUGCUUUGCUACAAGUGCUUGGUUGAAGCUUGAGAGAUCUCAGAAACCCAUUCCGCCUCUAGCUUUUGAGUGACUAAUUCUUUCCCACCGCACCCAGUGGAUACCUUUUCUGUCUUGUUUUGUUCCCCACCAAAACCUUGCCAUUGCUUUUUGGAUAUCCUCACACAGCCCUAGAGGAAGUUUAAAAACACUCAUGGCAUAAGUUGGAAUAGCCUGUGCAACAGCUUUAAUCAACACCUCUUUUCCUCCACUUGUAAAGAACUUAUGUUGCCAGCUUGAGAUUUUAUUCAGCACCCUUAACUUAACUUCGUUAAAGAAACUCUUUGUCUUCCUUCCUAUCAUUGAGGGCAGUCCCAAGUAUUUUUCGUGCCGAGAGACCACCUUUAGCUGGAAAAUCUCACUUAUGGCUGUAAUUUGAUCAUUCCUUGUGCCUUUACUGAAGAACAUCGAAGAUUUCUCGAAGUUGAAGAUUUGCCCGGAAGCUUUCCCAUAGCAUUCAAAUAAAGCCUUCAAGUGUUUACAAUCUUCUACUGCUGCUCGGGUGAAGAUUAAGCUGUCAUCGGCAAAUAAUAAAUGGGAGACUUUUGCAUCUUUGCCGAAAUGAAUUCCAUGAAUGUGCCUUUGCUGUUCUGCCUGUAUCAGGAGGUUGGAGAAAGCCUCUGCACACAUUAAAAAAAGAUAAGGGGACAGGGGACAGCCCUGUCGAAGCCCUCUUUGUGGGUGGAUUAAUCCUGUAGCCAUUCCAUUGAUAACAACAGAGAAAGAUGUUGUUGUGAUACAAUGCAUAAUUAAAUCCACCCAUUUGAUUGAAAAACCUAGCUUUAACAUUGUUUGUUUCAAAAAGUUCCACUCCACUCUAUCGUAGGCCUUGCUAACAUCUAACUUAAGGGCCACCAGCCCAUGUUUUUUCCCCUUACUAUGUCGGAUUUUGUGUAGGCAUUCAUAACCGACUAUGAUGUUAUCAGUAAUUAGACGAUUCGGAAUAAAUGCCCCUUGAGUUGGGGAUAUAACCUCGUGAAGAAUUUGUUUCAGCCUAUUUGCAAUUGUUUUGGUGACAAUCCUAUAGAUCACAUUACAUAAGCUUAUUGGCCUAAAAUCUGUCACUCUCUGGGGUUUAAGAAUUUUCGGGAUCAAUACAAUAUGAGUGUGAUUAAGGGGAGUAAUUGUACCUCUACCGUUCAAAAUGUGGAGGCAAGUGGAGAUAACACCAAGCUUUACCGAGUCCCAGUGCUUUUGGAAGAAGGCUGCUGGCAGUCCAUCAGGUCCGGGAGCUUUGGUUGGACACAUUUGGGAAAGAGCUGUGGAGACUUCCUCCUCCGUGAAAGGCGAAUCCAAUUGGUUGUUCAUUUCUAAGGUGACCCUUGGCUUUAAUCCUGCUAGAGCAGCCUCUAUUUGCUUUUCUGAUGGGCUGGACGUUGUAAAUAAACUUGCAAAGUACUCACAGAACUGUUUUUCGACCCCCUCUCUAUCAUCAACCCAUACAUCAUGCUGGUCCAUGACCCCCCAUAUUCGGUUCUUCCUUUUCCUAGAUGAAGCUUUUGAGUGGAAAUACUUCGUGUUCUUGUCUCCUUCCUUCAGCCAGUCUGCUCGGGAUCUUUGCUUCCAGUACACUUCCUCAUCCAGCAGCAUUUUUUCAAUUUGCUCCUCCGUGCUUUUGAUCUCACUCACUUCUUCCCUCUGCGUGAAAUUGUGCUUCAUUUCUGAAAGUUUUUUCUUCAGUUGCUUCAACUUUUCUUUUUGCCCAUCGAACUCUUUCCGACUCCAUAUCCGCAGCUGGGCCAGACAGUUGUUGGUUGUUUUUUUAAAGAUUGUAACCGGAUCCCCUUGACUCCAGCUGCCACCCUUCAAUCAUUCUUCUUUCACUAUGUUCUUGCAAACUUCAUAAUGGCUCCACAUAUCCUCAUAAAAGACUCUUGGGCUGGAAUUCUUUUUGUACCAGGCAAACUUAUUCCUUUCUUGCAUUUCUAGCAUGACAGGGCUGUGGUCUGAGCACCAAGUAUCAAGAUUGGAAACAAUCAGAUUAUAGGGGCUUUGUUCCCAGUCUUUACUCCCGAGAAAUCUAUCGAGUCUUUCCUCUAUCAACUGCGGGCCGAAUCUUCUAUUCGACCAGGUAAAAGGAUAGCCCCUACACCCUAAGUCUAUCAAGUUGCAGUCAUUAACAGUCUCCCUAAAUGCAGCCACCAUAUCCAAAUUCCUAUCUUUCCCCCCUAACUUUUCAUUUGGAUGCAAGAUUUCGUUGAAGUCACCAAAACAUAACCAUGGCCAAGUAAACAUACCUGCAAGCCUCCGCAAUAAAGUCCAAGUGUGUCUUUUCUGUAUAGUUUCCGGGUGGCCAUAGAUUCCUGAGCAUCUCCAAAUUUUUCCGUUCACCCCUUGGAUCACUGCGUCUAUAUGAUGAUUGCUGUAGGAAAUAAUAUUGACAUCCACUUCAUUAUUCCAUAACAGAGCCAAACCACCCCCUAGGCCAUUUCUCCCUACAUUGAAGCAACUGUCAUAGCCUAAGCCUUUACUCAUGUUUGUCAUAUGCCCCGACUUCAUUUUUGUUUCACACAGAAAAAUGAUUUGUGGCCUAUGACAUCGGAGAAUGUCUUUUAUUGCGAGGAACGUCCGGGUAUUCCCCAAACCCCGGACGUUCCAACUUAUGAUCCUCAUUGCUGCCGGCGGGGCUGGAAGCCAGCCUCCGCCGAUAUCUCUUUCAAUGCUGAACCUAUCCCCUCUGCCCCUUCCAUGGCUGAUGUGUCCCAGUUUGAAGUGAGCUUAGCUGAGGGGGAAUUUCUUUCUCCUUGACUUGGCUUACACUCACCCUUGCUGCCCAUCUUGUAUUUUUUGCUUUGUGAACUUGUCAUUUGUGAAUCACAGCUGAUCCGCUUCAAGUUAUUUGGUAUGGUUUGGGUGAUUCCUUUCUUACUUAAGCUUCGGGCCUGGUGUUUCCAUCUUCUCCAUUUCGUUUUCGUCCUCCUUGAGUGAGACUCAUCGACCACCCCUUCAUCAUCCGAGCUCAUAUGGGUUGUGCUUGUUGAAAUGGGCUGGUGAAUUUUGUGGCCCAUUUCGAGAUCUUUGUCCACCUUUUCUCCCCCCAUAUUUUUCUCCAUAUGUCUUUUUUCAAUCUUAUUUCCCGCACUUUUGCACACAUUUUCAGACACUACCUCAUUGCCUGCUGCGCCUUGCUGCUCUCUGUUUUCAACUUGCUGCUCUCUCGAUUGUCGUUCUUGGGGCAUUAAUUGUUCCCCAGCUAGCUCUGCCACGUGUCUUAAGCUUAUUUAAGGACUGGUUGCUUCAUCUUGAUGUUGGAUUGACCCUGACCCGAUUUCCCCUCUCGGGUUCAGUUGUUGCAGUUGGGGGGUGCCUGUACUUUCUGAGUUCCUGUCUUCUCUUGUCGUUUUACUUUGGUCCCUAUUACCCCUCUCUUUGCUCCUCUGAAACCUCAUUCGCUCCGGUAAUGGAAGUGCCCUUAACCAAGCUCCAUAUGCCAACUCCUCUUUAGGUUGGCCUUUAUAUGUGGCACACUCUCUGUAUUGAUGCCCGAUGUAUCCACAGCAAAAGCAGUAGUCUGGCAGCUUCUCAUAAGUAACUCCAACCAAAAUCUCUUUCCCAUCUUCCUGUUGGAUUCUUAUGACCUUCUUCAACCUCUUCGUGAUAUCUAUCGAAAUCCGGACUCGCACAUAUUCCCCAAAACAGUCCCCCGUUGCAUCUGUAGCUACAUCUUCAACCAUCCCAAUCUUAGAACUAAUCUCACGAAUUGUGCUUAUAUCCAUGCACAUUAAAGGUACAUUAUGCAGCUGCACCCAAAAUGAGACGUGUGAAAAUGAUUGUUCCGUAACAUUGCCUAUACCACUCGGCUCUUGGAGCACUAUAAGAGCUCGGUCAAAAUGCCAUGGCCCCCCUUUUAGCACUCUUCGUUUAUCCUCUGCUGAGGAAAACUUGAACAUUAAUAUUUUAUUUCGCAAGCUCUCUACUUUGACUACUCCCACUGGGCGCCAGGCUUGUUGUAGAGCUGUUCUAAUCCCCUCGUGACUGACUCCUCUCGUUGUGAGGAUUUUUCCAACUAGGCACCCUGCUGCGAUCUGAGCCCCUUUUUCCUUCAUACUGCCCCCGAAAAUGACUCUAUCUUCCUCCUCCUCUUCGAGUGUUAUUGCACUGCAUUUCUUUAUUAACUCCUCUGUUUCCAUAUUGUUAAGGACAAGCUCUUUUUGCCUUAAAUACCACGCGAGAUCCUCACCUACCUCGACCUUCUUCUACGAUUCUGUUUACAGUCUUCUUUAAAGCCUCUCUCUUUUACGGUUCAAACCUUUUGGCCCCACGAGGACUAAGGGCUGUAAGCCAACCAGCACACGAGACGAAACCAGAAUAAUAAAAGGAAGAAAAACAAAAACCCACGCUCAAUCUAGUGAGCACCCAUCCGGAUCCUGUAGAUCCAGUUUAGCUUCCAUUCAGUGUUCUCUCAUCCAGAGAAAACACCCCUGAAGGAAGAGUUUAGAAGAAAAAUCCAGUGAUUAUCCUGUUGAGUAAAUAAACAAGGGGACAAUUUGUAAUUACCAGUUGCAUAAUUGAAAUCCCCAUGGAGUGAUUACUAUUGAGUGGCUUCAACAAACGAAUGUCCUUGAAUCCGAAUUCUCAAGUUGUCGUUGCUCGAGUUACUGUCCCCCAGACUUAAGCAAUUAGAGCUGCUUCUGAUUAGUCGCCGAUGGCCGUCAAAUUUUCCAUUAAUAUUAAAGUUUGGGAAAAGUACAGUGAGCCCCUAACGUUUAGAAAAAAUGAUAUAAAAUUCCUUAACGUUUCAAAAAAUAUAUAUAACCCUCGUUUUAUUAAUAAAUUUUGUUUCUUUUAAUAGUAAAUUUAUUUUUAUUUUAUAAUUACUGUUAUGUCCCUAUAAUAAAUAAAUUAACAUAUUGACGUAAGACAUGUCAUGUGUAUAAUGAAAUCAACAACUUUUAUUUAAAAUUUAAAAUUAAGAUAUAAUUACCUUUGCCCCAAUUAUUCAUUAUUUUUAGAGUGAAUUUUAAUUUUAUACAUUAUUCAUCAUUUUUUAUUGGAAAUGGUGUAUUGAUAAUUUAGAGUGAAUAAUUUGGGCAAAAGGUAAUUAUAUCUCAAUUUUAAGUUUUAAAUAAAAAGUUAUUCAUUUCAUUAGACACGUUAUUAACGACAUGUUUGAGGUUAAUAUAUUGAUUUAUUUAUUAUAAAAACAUAAAAAAAAUUAUAAAUUAAAAAAAAAUUAUUGUUAAAAUAAAUUGAAUUUACAAACAAAAAUGGAGGUUAUAUGUUUUUUUUUUUGAAAUAUUAAAGAAUUAUAUAUCUUUUUUUCUCAAACGUUAGGGUUCAGAGUCUCUUUUCCUUAAAGUUUUGCAGAACCCAUAACCAAUUCGCUACAACCGGUUUGCACGGUAGCCUGACUACACAUCAUUAAUUCCAUGAUAAAAUCACAGCCAUUGGAUUAAAGUAACUAUAAUCAGACGACUAGACUGAAUAUGGACAAAAAGCGGGGUACAAUACUCGAGGGACACCGUACUUGGACCCAUUCAAAUCUAUAUAUUAGGAUAUUUGUUGAUUUUUAUUUCACGUAUAUAUAGGUAUCAUGCUAUACGUCCACAAAAUUUUGACAUGCUGUCCAUUGUAACAUUGUACAAGAGUAGAUAAAUUCUAUGCCUCACUGGUAUUAUUCUAAAUGAGUCAAUCCAAGUGUUUAUUCCACUCUUCAAUAUAUUUUCCUUGUUUUAUAUAAGUUCAAUUCCAUAUCUAAAAUAAAAUAGAUUUAAGAAACAGAAAUUUGAAUCUUUAUAAAAUGGCCAUAAUGCCAGUAAAAUAAUUUUCUUCGCAAUCAAAAAAUAAAAUCUGGAUCUUCUUGUAACAUACUAUAUUCGCCACAUCCAAUAUCUCUGUUUAGUAUAAUUUUUUAAGUAAAAUUUUUGUUAGUAGAACUUUUACAAGUUGAGCUUUUAUUAAAAAAAUUUUAGUUGUUUGGUUGUCAAUAAGAGCUUUUAUUAGAAAUUACAAAAUUACUUUAAUAUGCAAAUUUUUUAAAGUUAUGUUAUGAAAAGUAUAAAAUAAGAUUAUCAAAUAAAUAGAUGAUAUUUUAAUAUUUAAAAAAAACUUUUCAAUCUCUACUCUCAAAAGCUCAAAAUUUGAGGUUUUACUAGUAGAAUCAAAAUAGCUUACUUAAUCCUAAAAAAUUCUACUAAAAAGACAACCAAACAACAACAAAAAUUUCUAUAAGAGUUUAUAAAAUUAAAUAAAUACUUAUAACUAUUGGAUAAGCCGUACCAAACAGCCAAUAUAUUAAAGAUCCAGCUUUCCCAAACUUAGGAAGGUCCAGCAAAAAUCUACUAAUUUGGCCACUUUAUUCUAAUUAAAACAGACAAUAUUACAAUUUUCCUUGAAAGUACUGCAUGGUGUCGUCAAUAUCUUAUUAAAAUAUCAUACUGUUUAAAUAUUCUUUCAAUCCCUUCAAUUCAAGAUAAUUAUUUAAUUAGUAUCAAUACUUUAACAAAUUGCCCAAAUGGUCAGUUUUUAUUGUUCUAUUUUGUUUAAAUCUAAUUGAUUAUCAUCUAAUUAUUUACGUCUUGCAUUUCAAAAUUGUUUGAAUUUUAAAUUAUAUCAUAUAGAAACACUAUCUUACUGUUAAAGACUUAAGCUUUUUAAGCAAUUCGUAAUUUUUUGAAAAUAUGAAGACUAAGUGAAUAAUUAACUCAAAUUAGCUAAACAAUUAACUCAAACUAUAUAUUAAAGACUAAAAAAAGCAUUUAUCCUAACUAUACCAAAAUGGAAGAACCAGCAUGGAUUUGGCUAUAGAAAUACAUAUACGGAAAUUAAGGCCAAGCCAAUCACAGCUUAACCUGAACGUGCACAUGCCCAUUUAAAGUGAGGGGGUAGUUGCAAAUUUCCUGCACACACAACUAAAAAUCAAGAAUGGCUUCUUUAACCAAAAUAUUGAUGUUACUUAGUCUUGUUGUUUCAUUUAUGUGUAUGAUGAGCAACGCCGCUUCUGAUCGCCCUGUGAAGCAUGUUAAUAUCAUAAAUAAAAUAGGAAAAGAUUUUAUAAUGCGUUGCCAGUCGAAAGAUGAUGAUCUUGGUGAACGCGUGCUGCAUAACGAGGAGACAUUUUCCUUUUCAUUCAGGACUGCAGUUUUCAAACGUACUCUAUUCUUCUGCGGAUUUACAUGGGAUGGCCAGUUGCAUUGGUUCGACAUCUAUGAUGCCGGGAGAGAUGGCUGCAAUGAUUGUACCUGGAGUAUAUUACCAAAUGGUCCCUGUUUAGCUGCGACUCGUCUUAAUCAUGCUAUUUGUUAUCAGUAUCAUUAAUUAAUAAUUAGCUUCCGUAUGAAUUAUCUUGAUACAAAAUAAAACCCUAUAAUGUUUAGCAGGUAAAACUUUGUUUUUUUAUUUGAUGCGAGAGGUUUGAGUUCGAGGUUCAGAAUCCAUUAGAUUGUGUAAGUGUCAGUCUGUUUAGUUGGUAAAAUAAUUUCUUCGAUAAUACAAGAGAUUAAUUUGUUUAAUUUAUGGGUGAUAAUUAGUUUAAUUGGUAAAACAUCUUAAUUAAUACAAGAAGUCUUUAAGGUUUAUAUCCUACUGGGACGUGUGAACAGGAAAUUUAAUGAGAAGCUGCUAUGCUUAAUUUUAAACAAAAAAAAAAUUCCAUUCAAAUUCCAUAUUAAAAUACGUGAAAAGGAUCUGGAUCUCCUAUGUGUGAAAGGAUAAGCGCAAAUCUACUAAUGCUAUACAACAUGUACCAAUUAAUUUAGAUCAUUUCUUUCCAUUUGAACCCAAUUUUCUUUAAAAGCGCAAGAAACAAAAAACGUGUCCUUUGAUCAAACAUGGAAAGAAAUGCACCUUGGAAUUCCUAUUUAAAGGCAUGUUCAUUGAAUUUGCAUAUACCUAAUCUUUUGUUACUUAUAAGUCUUUGUUGUUUCAUUGAUGUUUAUGAUGAGCAAUGGCGAAUUGGCGAAAUACAACGGCCUGAAAAGCACGUUCAUGAAAUCAUGAAUGAAUUAGGGUUGGAUGUUACAGUGAGUUGCCAGUCAAAAUAUGAUCGAGAUAACUAGACUUAAAUUAAAUUGAUUGAUUUCUCCGAUAGUAACAGAUUUUGGGCUUGUGCAUACAACUGUUCUCAGGCCCAUAGGCCAGUAUGAAUCAAACCAGCCCUUCUUAAUUGUAAAUCGUUUAUAACAUGAGUCCCCCUGUGGUUACAAUUUUGAGUAAUGUUAAAGAGAGGGAAAAAGGAGAGAAAGAUGAUGGGAAAUGAGAUAAUUUUAUUUUCUCUCUCUAUUCAGCCCACUUUCUCUCGUCUUUCUCUAUCUUUACCAUUUUUCUACAAUUUUAAACCAAAAUUACAGGCUUUCUGUUCCUCCAACAAAGGCUAACUUUUGCCACUAAGGUCUCGACCAAUUGUGGGCACCGCAGGCGGCUCAUGCCCUCAACUAUUGAGAAUAUAAGUUUGUGCCUCUGUGUGUAUAGAAGCUCAAAUAUUUUUUUCCUAUUUUAAAUUUGGAUAGAGAUAUAUAUAGAAAUGUUUCCAUUCAAGAUUUUAGAUUUGUUAAAGUAUAGAAAAAUUAGUUUAGUAGUGUAAUGACUAUAAAAGCUAUUAAAUCGCAUGAUUUAAUAGAAUAAUUACAUCAUACUAUUAAAUUGUAUGAUUUAAUAUUUUUCCAGACUUUAAUAAAGUUUAGAAUCUUGGAUUAGAUUAACACUCGACUUAUCUAUCUCUUCAAAAUAUUAGUGGAAAUAUUUUUUUUAUUAGUUUUAAUAGACUUUUGAGCUAUACUACAAGCGUAUACAUUUAAAUUUUGAUAGACUUCGAAUUGUAGUAGCGGUAGAUCGUAUCCAAUUAAAAUAAAAAAUAAAAAAUAAAAGGGCAAACUUUUGAUGCUCCAAUUUGGAGUUCUUUUCCAAGCUUGGUCAUUAGUAAUCAGACAUUAUAAAAUUAUUUAUACCCAACAAUUUUCAGGUAAUUCCGUAACAGCUAAUACAAUAAAUAAACAGUAAUAUUAGUAGUAAACUUUUAAUAAGAUUACAAUGAUGUUAUGUCGCUCUUGUUGAUUGGCUUUGCUGUUUGUAUGGUCUGUAAUUCUCGUGUGUAUGAUACUGAUAGGGCAAUUUAUAACUUAUAUUUAUUGUAAAUUACAACUAAUACUUCUUUAAAAGAAAUACAACUAAUAAAAAUAAUACAAAAAUAAAUAAUAUGCAAGCGGGGCCACGUGGCUUAUUUUUAAUAAUUGUAAAUUACAUUAAAUAUAAAUUAGGGAGACCUGACCAUUGAUAGUGGUGGUCUUUAACUUUAUAAGUGUUGAUUUUUGGAAGACGAUUAGAAAUGGUACUUUGUAGAGUAGUGCUCAGAUUCUUGUAUGGGAAAGUACAAAAGUAAGACAGAAAAAAGUGUCCUCCUAGUCAAUACCACAAAACAAUCCUUCAACAAGAAGUACAUGCAUGCAGAUCCAUGAUUUUGCUUCAUGUGAUGGUCAAGUGAAACAUCAAAAAACUCUGCAGCACCAAAACCUGAGCUAGUCAGCGGCUAGCUGUUGUGAAUUUUGGAAUCUAUUGUUUUGCUUCAUCUUGAAUCUUGGGCUUCAAUAAUGUAAGUGAAAGAAGAUAAAUUAAGGGUCCAAGUCCAACUACAAUAUUGUUACCUACAGGUUAUAGUGAAACUUAUUAUUAUAGAUACUUGCAUAAUUUGUUAACAACAGUACUGUGACCUUUAGGAUCAGAAAGUGCAGUACUUUUGUAAAGAAAGAAUCACUGCAGUCUCGGAUCUUUGAAAAGAUGAGUGAACAUGAAAUGCAAAUUGGGAAUCAAUUCUUUUACACUCAUUAGUCAUUACCAACUUGGGAAUUGUAAAAAGUGAUACAGCCAAAACUCCACUAGUCAAUGGUCUCCCAGCCCCCCAUGGAAUUUGAUAAGUAAAAUCAAUAUGACUUCUUUCACUCUGAAUUAUCUUGUCACAAACCUUUUUGGGUUCUUUUUACUAGAUUCUUACUGUCCAUCUUAAAUAUGCUCUCAUUUCAUUUGAAUGAAUUGCCUGCAAAUAUUGAAAUGGGAUGUGAAAAUUUUUCAAGUACUGCAAAUGCCAACCUUGCAACUAUUGGCUAUGUGUGUUGUCAUGCAUUAAGAUAUAAGAAAUAGGGUCUAACAACAUUUUCUUCUUUACAUCAAAAGUACCCAAAAGAGAUUUGUAAUUGAAGAAGCUGGUGAUAAAACAAAACUUCAUUUCUACUUAGUUGAAACUAUUUAAAAUAAUUAUUUGAAACCAAUUCUGCUACCAGAGGAAGAUGAAUAGAAUAGUGAGGAGGCAGAGAAGCUUGUGUUGUUGCUUUUUGGAUGCAGAGUUACCGUGGGUUUAGAUGAAGAUGUCGCUAGAACUCCACUUGAGUUCUUAUUUUCUUGAACAUUAGCAGCUGCUGGUGAUCCCUUGAGGAGCAUGUCAACCUUUGCAUACUCCUCUCUUUCAUGUUUUAUUUCUUUGAGCAUCGCCGCAACAUCUUUCAUUGUCGGUCUCUCAUCAGGAGAUGCAUUUACACACAAUAAGGCUACGCCUAAUGCCUGCAGCAUUUCAUCAAUUUCUGACUCUGGUCGAGAUAGAAGACUCGGAUCGAGGACUUCAAUUCCCUUCUUCUGUCUCACCCAAUCUACAACAUGGGAUCCAUCAGGUAUUGUUGGAUCAAUUGGUUGCUUCCCUGUCAAGACUUCAAGCACUACAACCCCAUAGCUGUAAACAUCGCUUUUCUCUGUGAUCUUCAUCAUGUAACCAUACUCUGAAUAGAACAAUAAAUGUUAGUUGAAGAUUGAUAAGUAGCCAUAGUGGGAGCAUAGGAUAAGAUUUAACAUGAUAUUGAUUAACAAGAAGUAAUGGAAUAACAAAGCCACAGACAAUAUAAAGUAAAUGGCUAUUGAACUAGGGCAUGAAUCAAAAGUUGCUUACCGGGAGCAAUAUAUCCAUAGGAACCAGCAACUGUGUUCGAGGAUCGAGCAAAAUCACCAUCAUCAACAAGCUUGGCUAGGCCAAAGUCAGCAAUAUAAGGCUCAAAUUCAAGGCCAAUGAGAAUGUUAUUGGCUUUAAUGUCCCUGUGAACUAUGGGAGGGACACAGUCAUGGUGCAAGUAAGCAAGGCCUUGAGCUGCUCCAAGCAAAAUUUGGUACCUCAACUCCCAUUCCAAUGCAUUUCCUGUUCUCUCAUGAAGAAGACUGCCCAAGCUCCCAUUAGGCAUAUAGUCAUACAUGAGCAAUCUAUUGUUUCGAUUCCAACAACAACCCAAGAACCUAACAAUAUUCUUGUGUCGAAUUGAGCCAAGCGUUUUUAUCUCUGCUGAGAAGGAAUCCCGAACCCCAGAUUUCUCAUCACUACAUCCAUUAGCUGCAGCCAUUGUUGUUGGCCAAAGCUUCUUUACAGCAAUAACUUCACCAUUGUCCAUAUCAGCACGAUAAACAACCCCAGAACAUCCUUUGCCUAUCACAUUGGCAUCAACUAGGCAUUUCAAGACUUGCUCUACUGAGAAAUUCAGCUUCUGGAAUGGAGUGAAUUGCCAUGGCCACGAGUCUCCCAACUCAGAAUCAUCAUCAUCUUUCAUAGCCCUUCGUGCUCGAAUUAAUGCAAAAGUCCCCAUGAUCGCCAUUGCCACCGUCAAGGUGAUCAACAACGCAAUGGCUACUUUAAGUUUCCUUGACCUCCGCACAUCAUUUUCAUUGCUUGCAAGUCCUGCCUUGCCAUCAUUACUCAAGAAACACGAGUCCUUUCUCGAAGAACAAAGGCCUUCAUUUCCUGCUAGGUCUGUUGGCGACAACUGUCUAAAGAGCUUGUUGUCAGGAAGAUAACCUGUGAAUUUAUUGUAGGAGAUGUUGAGAGAUACAAGAUUAUCAAGCUGUGCCAGCGGAUUCAAAUUCCCCUCAAGCUUGUUAUGUGAAAGGUCUAGAAUGGAGAGCUUAUUUAGAGCAGAAAUUUGAGCUGGUAUCGGCCCAGUGAGUCCAUUACAACUGAGGUUGAGAGCUAUUUCAAGGGCUUCUAUUUGACCAAGUUCCAUCGGCACACUACCAGUGAGCUGAUUGCUGCUAAGAUCAAGCAGCUGAAGACUUGAACAGAGGCCAAGUGAUGAUGGUAUGGGUCCAGAAAACAGAUUCUUCGACAGAAUGAUCUUGUUCAAUGACACAAGACGCCCCAAGCUCGCUGGUAUUUGACCGGAAAAUCGAUUAUCCGAAACAUCAAGAACUUGUAGCCCAGAGAGAGAUGACAAAGAAUUAGGCAGGGAACCCUGCAGAGUGUUAUGGCUAAGGUCUAUCAUUUGCAACUCUGUACAAUCACCAAUCUCAUCCGGAACCGACCCUGAAAGGCGAUUGCUAGAUAAAUCAAGAAAGUUUAAAGUCUUCAAACCCCCAAUUUCUCUAGGAAUCAAACCAGCAAUGCGAUUAUUUCCAACCCUUAACCGCACAAGCGAGCUGCAAUUGCCAAUUUCUGGAGGUAUGGACCCCGAAAUGUCGUUGGAAAUCAAGAGAAGCUUUGUGAGGUUCUGAAGCUGGAACAAACCAGCAGGAACGCUAGCAGUGAGUGAAUUGUGAGACAAGUCUAGAGCUUGGAGAUUGCUACAACUAGCCAAAGUUGAAGGAAUGCUUCCUUCAAGCUGGUUCUGCCAAGCAAAGAAAACAGUGAGCUUUGACAGCAUCCCAAUCUCUGGAGGAAUCAAUCCUGAAAUCUGAUUUGUAUCAAGUUGCAAUUGCACAAGAUUUGUGGCGUUGGCCAGAUUCGCAGGUAUUGAACCAGACACAUUGUUAUCACUAAUCAUAAACUCUUCAAGCUCCGAAAGGCCUCCUAUUGACAAUGGUAUAGUCCCAGACAGAGAAUUUAAAGAAAAAUCAAUCAUUUUCAAACUAGUACAAUUACCAAUCUCUUCUGGGAUAGCACCAACAAGACUAUUUUGCCACAAGAACAAUUCUUCGAGCUUUUUAAGCUUACCAAUCUCUGGUGGAAUCGAACCAGAAAGACUAUUUUCAUACAAAAACAAACUCACAAGCUCAGAGCAGUUACCUAUUUCAGCCGGAAUCUCACCAGAGAUCAUUGUAGUGUAAAUAGACAAUGUCUGAAGUUUGCUCAGCUUACCCAAUGAAGCUGGCAAUGAACCCGAAACUUGCGUAUCAGCCAAUCCCAAAGCAGUCAUAUUGCUGCAAUCUCCGAGCUCAGCAGGAAUCUUCCCCACAAUGUCCUUGUUUCCUCCAGCUCUCAUCUCUUCAAGAUUGGAUAAUCUUCCAAGCUCUGCAGGUAUAUUCCCGGCCAAGGCAUUAUCAAAGAGUAAGAGUUUCCUGAGGCUCUUACAGUUACUUAACUCAACAGGGAUUUUCCCAGUAAGCUGAUUAGAGUUCAAAAUCAACUCUUCAAGAUUGUGAAGCUUGCCAAGACUUGAAGGUAGAGUACCAACAAGAUUGUUAGAACUAAAGUCAAGGACUAUAAGUCCUACACAAUCACCAAUAUCAAACGGGAUACUCCCAGUGAGAUUUGCAUCAGAAAUGACAAGCGUUUGAAGAUGUUUAAAAGAAGAAAGAUUGGUUGGUAUUGGAAGUUGAAGAGGCACAGACUGUAUUGUAAUCUCAGUUACAAAACCUUGAGCAGAGCAUUUAAUGGAGGUCCAGUUACAUGGGGAGGCAUCAAGACUGUUCCAGUUAUUAGAGAAUGAAGAAGAAGAAGAUAAUGGGGAGUGUAGCCAUGAAAAGAGAACGGAAGCUUCAUGGUUUUGAGACUCAACAACAGAGGUAAAAAGGAUAGAGAGGAAGAAGAAAAAGAAGAAGGAUUGUUGCCUCGAGCUGGGCAUUGAUAUUGAAGACAAUUUGCCUCAAUUUCCAAAACUUUCUUCUCGGGUUUGUAUCAUUGGGUUUCUUGAUGUUUUUUCUCUCUUUCUUUGUGCUUGCUUGCUUGCUUUCAACUCAAAAACUCUCAACAAGUUUUGAUAGUAACGUUAAUGCAAAAGCACAAAAAAUAAUAAUAAUAUAAAAGAUUAUAAAGAAAUGAAAACAAAAACAAAGCCAACGCCUAGAGAUCUCCAACACCACCACCACCACCACAACACUUAAUAUGUAUUAUAAAAUGGGGUUUCUGCUAGAUGGGCUCACGCGCAAGAAAGAAGAGAGACACCAUAUGACAUGACUUUUCAAGCUUCAUAUAUAAUUUCCUGUACAUGUAAAUAAUAAAAUGAAAAAAAAUAUAGAUUUGUUUAAACUAUUAUUUAAUAGUGAUGAGGGGUGUGAUGAGAGCAGAUGGCUAGCCCUAACUCAAAGUGAGUGCUUGUAUGUUUUUAAUAAUUUUUAAACGCACAAACAGACACAAGGGAUGCUUAUUCUCUUCCUCAAUUUGCUCAUUUGAAGCUUUCUGGGUUCAGUUACCACGUUUGUAUUUUUGGCUCCUCUCUGUCAUCCAUUCAUUUUACAAAAUGAAUGGUUGGAUCAAAUAUUUUAAUUUAUUAACAAAGAACAAAAUUAGAUUUCAUUUUUAUUGAAGGAGAUCAAAGAAUUGAGAGUACAAUUAAGUAUUGUGUGUUAUUAUUAUGGCAAGAACGGCAUGGUAUCUUAAAAUAAGAAAUGUGACUCUAAUGUAUUGUGAUUAGUGAGGUGUAUAUGUGCUUGCACCUACUAUAUAUUAGCAAUAUCUUGGUUUGCUUUUUGCAUGUACAAAAGUCAAAAUUUAUUACUACUAAUCCAUCAAUUUGGAAGCUUAUAGAAAAAGUUAGGAGAAAAUUAAUUUUGAACAUUUUUUAGUAAUAAAUUUUAUUAAAUUUAAUUUAAGAGAAAUUUAAACAUCAAUAAUAUAUAUGAGUAAUAAUAUGAUCACAAUUUUCUUGUAUGAACUAUUUUGGUAUAACGUUAUAUUGAACAAUUGGAGAAAACUUUGCAUGAAACACAUGUUUUAUUUUCAUUAUUUUCUAUUUUUAUUCAAUUAAUAAAAUUAUACCACCAGUUUGGACAAAGAAUUUAUAAUUUUAUCAAUACUGAAUAAAUAUUAUUAACAGUCUUUUUUUCCUCUUUAAUGGUUGAAUGUAUGCUUUACGGGGAUAUGUCAAGAUUGCUAAUAAAUGUUAUUUUACCAUUUACAUAAUUCAAAACAACCUAUUUAUGAAAGAGCUUUCCUUAAUUGAUUACUUAUUAUAUAUUCUUAACGUAGAUUCUUAAGGCAGAUAUUAAUAAAAGCCUUAUAAAAAAAUUAAUUAAAAAACGAGAGUAGACUGUAUCCUGAAACAUAAUUCUCACAUGGAAUUUGAGUUGCUGAUAUACUAAAUAAUAAUAAAAAAAUGUUUAUUUUAAUCUUUUUUUAACAUUUAGGAAAAAUUUCUUUUUUAAUAUUUAACUUCAAAAUCAAUGUCUAACUCCAGUGGUAAGGAACGGUCAUCCUAACUCUUAAGGGUCAAGUCUUAGAUUUGAGUUUCAAUGGAUAUGUGAGUAACUAGAUUAGAAACAAAAUAGAGAUAUUUUAUCUUUUUUCUUGUUAUUCAUUUUUGAAUUUUUCUUUUUCUGGAAGGUUUAUCCAUACCAAAAUAUGGGUAAGAUGAGAAUAUUAAAAUUUCAAGAACUAAGAAUUGCCCUUUAUUCACCAUUUAGCUAUGGUAAGUUGAGAUGAGACAGUCUAGUGUCUUAAAGUUGAGAAAAACAUAUAUGGUAGUCACAAAUAUACCUUAAAAAAAACUCAUUAGGAAACAUGCUAAGCAAUUCUUUAUUUUGCAUUAGCAAAUUAAUUGUAGGAUAUCACUACUUUAUGGGCCACUUAAUUAAAUUCAUUAUUUUGACAACAACGUGUAUCAGAAUAAUUCAGAAAAUUACAUCACUUUAAAAUACAUGGGUAGAAAGUUGAACACAGAGUGUCACUAUUUAUCUUUUCCUCCUAGUUCUGUACACUUUGCUUAUAUUUGUCAAUAUAUAUAUAUAUAAUUAUGAUAGACCACUACCGAACCAACUCAAUCCCUUGCAAAAUAAAGCAAUGUUUUUUUUCUUCUUUCCCUAUAAUUUUAGUUUUACACAACUUUCUCUUCAUUGGAUUAGAAAUAGAGCUAGCCAGUUGAAGUUGCAAAUUGCACAAUAGAAUUUGGUCAGUUUCAAACAUCACUCAGCUGGGAAUUUGAAGCAAUCAUUGGAUGGCAAGAUGGUCUACGAGACAUUAGCUAAACCACCACUGAAUGAUGAUAACAACGAACCCUAAUUUCAAUUCCAAAUCUGCUUAAUUGAAUUGAUAAAUAUUAAUUCUUCACAAGCUCACAUAAUUUGACACCCCCAAUGCUUGCAAAUGCUAUUGCCUCCAUUAGAAGUCUGACGGGGGAAUUUGUGACAUCUCCUGACAAAUUUUACGUACAAAUUAAUUAUCAAUUUUAAUCAAACACAGUGUGUGUGCACAAGAUGAUGGCUGAUUGCCGAUUCCGCAAGCCUGUUUUGCUUGUUAAGCCAUGCAUGCGCCACAAAGCGUGGCUUCAAAAUUAUCAACAUUACAAUUACAUCAACCAAUUGAUACAAUAUUAAACCUUAUCAUCCCUACUGUUUAAUUUAUUUAAUUAAUCCCAUGUAACGCGUCCACACACGCGCCGAUGAAGUGGUAUUGCUAGUAUUUUUGUUAAAUAUUUUUUUGUUUAUUUUUUAUUUUUGACCUGACAAACUAUGUGUGUAUGUGUGUGUGUGUAAAAGAGCAUCCUUCGAAAGAAGAGAAAUUAGCUAGACCCAGAUCGCCAUUAGAUCCAAUGGCAUGUUAAUUUAAUAUAAAUUACAAAACAUAGUCCCAAAUUUUUAUAUAUUUUUAACUAGGUAUAAGCUUAUCAGUACAAGUUCUGAAGAAUUAAGACUUUAAGGACAAUCAAUAAAUUUAAUACAUAACAAUAUAAGUUCUGCAUUGGCAUGGCAUCUUCAAUUUUAUAUAUAUUGCAACAGGAUUAAUUUACAUUAUUUGGGUCACCAACAACAUUCAAUUUAAUGGGCUUCACCUAGAGUUUUAACGGUCAAUAUUGAUCCAAUUGGUCAAAAUCAUUGUCACCUCAAAAUUUGCACAAUUAACUAGACAACAAUGAGAAUAAAAGAAAUUUUAGGUUUCUAUUAAGGAUUUAAUUUUACUCUUAUAGGCCUAUGUUCAAAUUAUGAAGGAAAGUGUAACACAUAAUUGAAGCAUUGAGAUUGGUGAUUGAUUAAACAAAUAUAAAUCAAUUUUUUUUUUAAAAAAAAAGAUAAACUUAAUCAUAAUUUAUAUAAUAAGGUAGUAUUUACUUUUUGAAUUGAAGUGAAAAUCUAAGGAUUGAGAAUGUGGGGUGAAAGUGCGAGUGUUAGUAAUUUAUUUAUUUACAUUAGAAUAGGAGUGUAGAAUAGAAAUUAAAAUCUUAUUUAUAUAUUUACUUUGUCCUUGACUGGAAGUGGAUUAUUUAAAAUUAUAAUUAUGUCAUUAUUUAAAGAACUUUAAUAUUAUAAAAUAAACUAUUUAUUUAUUUUAAUUUUAAUUAUAUAAAUCAUAACCAUUAUUAAUAUUCUUAAUUAUGUAAAUCAUAAUUUUUAUUUUAUUUAAUUUUAAUUAUGUAAAAAUAAUUUUAGAUUCUUGAUACUAUAUCUUAAGACAACAAUAUUGAAAGUAAAUACCAUUAUUCUCUCUUAAGAUUUGACUGAAACUUAAGGCUUUGUUUGGUAUUAUAUAUUAUUUAGCAAUUAUCAUUUUAAUCAAAUUCAAACUACUAAAAUACUUCGUAAAAACUUACAACUUAGUUUUUUAAAAGCUAAGCUUUUAAUCCAAAAUUAUUUUAUUUUAUAUUUUUUAAAAAGUAGAGAGAUGGUAAAGUUUUCUAAUGAAUUUUUGAAACCGCCCACCUCUCCCAAAAUUUGAACGAUAGCCAACUAAAUAUAAUUACUUGAAAAUCAACCGACCAACACCCUGGGGCCAACUUUUACCCUGUAGUUAGAAAAUAUAAAAUGCUAAAAUCUCACUAAUUUAAAUUUAUCAAGCACUUAAUGAAUAAUAUGUUAAAUACGAUAUAAUUUGAAAUGAAAUCUUAAAACUUUAUAGCUACUAGUGAACAAAAAAAAUUCUAACUUAAAAAAAUUAAUUUUAUGAAAUACCCAUCAUUUCACUUAACUGCUAGAGUUUGUAUUUUACAACCACCGUAAUUUCAAAGCCACAAGACUAUCAUAAUCUCAACGAUUCUAAACCUCAUAAGUAUCAAUGAAAUUAUUCCUUGAAUGCCUAUGUAGACUAUGAUCACAACCUAAAGUUGAAUGAAUCACGUGGGUAAGCGACUUCAACAAACAGGCCAAAACACAAGUGGGUCAAUCUUUUACAUUCUAUAAUCAUCAAAAGAAGAAAAAUCCUAAAAAUAAAAAAGAGAAGAAAAAAGAAACAAAACAAGGCAUAUUCACGUCUCAAGCUACAACCUUAAGUGAGAAAAUAAUGAAGAUUUGGACUUUUGGGAAGUAAAAAAGAAAAUGAAUUGAGUGGAGUGGUAGCUUUACCCACAACACAUCCCUGAUUUUGAGGCCAUAUCACGUGAGGACUCGAAUCCAAAAAUUUUGCCCCCACUAAUUAAUUUCCCUAACAAACCAAACUAUAUAAUAUCCUAUCACUAUGUAACAAAUGAAGCUUAUAUAUUACAUUUAUAAUAUUUUAUAUGAAUAAAGUCAAAAUAAAUAAAUAAAUUUUGUUCCAUGUAGGAGAAAAGGUUAAUUAAAAUAUAACCUUUAGGACCAUAAAGGUGGAAACAAAUAAAAUUAAAGCUAAACGGCGCUGCUUUGGCAGCCCCCUUGCUUUAAGGGUCGUGGUGGCCUUGGGAGUUUCCCCUAUGGAAUCUAUACACGUUUUGUUUCUGUCACUACCUCAUAAGCUCAACCUAAAAUCCUUUGUUUAUUCAUUAAAUUAUGUUUGAGAAGAGGGUUAAUAUAAGGACAAUCUCACUGUAAGGUUAAUUUAAAUCUAUUUGAUUGGUUAAUAAUAUUUCAUAUACUAAAUUAGAAAGAGUGAAUGUUGAAGUGUGCUUUAAGGACACAUAUUAAAAUACUAAAAUUGGCAAGUUCUUUAAAUUGUGAUUGUGUCGAUGUGUCGAAAAAUAGACAUAAAGAAUUAUUAUUGGUGGAAAGAAUAGGAGGCUAUGGUUCUUGUGGCGAGGGCAAUCACUCCAUAGAUUUACUUAUGGUAUAUUUAUUUGUAUAUUGUGACUUGGUUUUGAAAGUGAUCCAAGAUUGAGCAGAAUGAAAAUUUUAAUGAGGUGUGUCACUGAGCAAACAUAAAAGCUUUUUGACUCCCGAGAUCAUAUUCUAUAAUCAAGAGCAAGCCCUUUUAUUUUUUUAUUUUUCUUUUUUAAACAAAUUAAAGGCCCAUGCUGUCUUUUGAAGUGAGACUAUGAAAGCUAAACAAUGACAAGUCAAUUGAAGUGGUUGUUUGGAUAUGUUACUCCUGGGAUGUGAACAUUUCACAAAUAAUUGAUUAUGUAAACAAAGUUCUGUUUGGGCCAAAAAGGACCUGGAUAACAUGAAAUUUGGGGCUCAAAAGUCAAAAGGCCUGAAACUCAAAGCUUUUUACUAUCCUCUAAGCAAACUUCGCUCAAUCAAUAUUUAUGGGUGCAUUUAGUAGUUUGCAUUUUAUUGUUUGGUAUUGGAUUAAAAUAUUGUUCUUAUACUAGUUUAGAUUUGUAAGUUUGUAUUAUAUUAUAUUUUAUUGCAUUAAAAAUAUGUUCUUAUGCUAACUCUUAUUUUGGUUAUAAUUUCUAGUUGCAUUACAUUCAAAAAGUGGCUAAGUCUCUAUUUGAUAUAACUUUUUAAAUAGAAUUUUUGUUAAUAGAGCUUUUAAAAGUAGAAUUUUUAUCCAAAAAAUUCUAGUUGUUUAGUUGUUAAUGAGAGCUUCUAUAAAAAAAUAUAUAAUUAUUUUAAUAGGUAAGUUUAAUAAAAUUAUAUGAAAAUAAUGAAAUAAGAUUGCCAAAUAAAUAGAUGAUAUUUCAAUAUUUUAAAAAAACUUCUCAACCUCUACUUCCAAAAGUCUAAAAUUUAAGAUUUUACUAAUAAAUGAAAAUAACUUAUUUAAUUUUAAAAAAUUGUAUCAAAAAAGACAACCAAACAGUAAGAUCUUAUAAGAUUAAAUAAACAUUUAUUAUCAUUAGAUAAGUAAUACUAAAUAGACACUAAUACAAUAAAAGAUAUAUAAAAUAAACUCAUGGAAUUAGGAUUAGACCGUGUUGCAUUAAAAUAUUGUUCAGAUUUUAAAUAUAAUCAUUUAACUUUUAUUGUUUAAUACGAUAAUAAAUUUAAAUUUAUUAACUAUUAAUUUAUAUUUAUAUUUAAAUCUUCCAACAGCUGCCAAGUAAUCUUUGGCCUUGUCACAUGAAGGGAUGUUAUCUCUAAUUGUUCUAUCAAUGAUGUAUUUCAUUGUGUCCAGACAGUGUCUGUUAGAAUUAUACCAAGCUGCCCACUCUACUUUUUCAACAGUUGCCAAGUAAUCUUUAAUAAAGAAUAUCUAGAGCUAAGGAAUCAAUAAUAAUUAAAAAAAAAUUAAGCAUGCGAAAACAAAAUCAUGCUAUAAGCAAUGACUCCUCAUUCUAAUUUUCUCCAAUAGCAACAUAAUAUGUUAGGCAUCCUUUAACAAUAUAGGAAUGCAUUAACUUAAAGAUAAAGCAGACAAGUUGAAUAUACUACCAACAUUGACCUAUUACUGACAGGGUAAUUAAGCCACUCAAUAGACAAUACCCAACAAAUCUCUUUAUCUACCCAAGCAUCCUACCAAGUAGUGAUUUACUGACAUGAUAAUAUCGACACCCAUAUGGAUCUCGGUAAUAGCGAUAAUAAUCUAUCACAUAAUUCAUAAUUAAUAAUUAUAAAUAAGCAUUUGAUUGAAAAACAUCAAAUAAUUUAUCAUGAUUGGUCCUACGACAUGUAGAUACACAAUCACUCUAAAUUGUAGUUUUGUAGCACAUAAAAUUUUAUACAUUAACAAAAUUGAGACUAAAUAAACUUUAUCAAACCAAAUAAAGUUUCUACCAAAAUAUUAAAUCAAAUAAAAUAUCUAUAUACCUCAAUGAAAUGUAAGAAUGUUAUGCCCCUAACAUCCAAUAAUGAUGGAUUAUUCUAAAUUUAAAAUUCUAAAAAAUUACCAAAAAUUGUAAAUAUUUUGGAUUAAAAUAACGAUUUUUGAGACUUAUGGUUACUGUUUUUAACAUCAAAAUCUUUGGCCCACAUUGAAAAUAAAAUAAAAUAAGUUAUUGAGAAAAACUACCAUUUAUCAAAAUAUCAAGGACUGUGAUGAUAUUUUGUCACGUUGACCAUAAGUCAAGGACCCUUUUGAAAAGUUUACAAACUUCUGAACCAAACUCAAAUUUCUAAGUGCAAAUAUUUUCCAAAUGAUGGGUCAUACUGAAAAGUUAUGAAGUUUAGGGAUCCCAAUUAUAUUAUCCCUACAACUUCAUCUUCAACAUUGGAUGUACAGUAAUGUACAGUAUGCUACAGUAACCCUUACUCAUACCAUCCCGAUUUUGUCCACUAAAAAUUAUGAAAAAAAUUAUACUUUUACUCCAAAAUCAUCACCCAUGUAUUAUUCAACAACCAUUUGCUCAAAUAUGCCCAAAAUCAAAAAAUUCAAAAUUGAAGAAAUUUUUUUAUAAGUGAGCUAAGUUUGAUUCAUCAACAAAUUAGAUCAUGGUUUACAAAGAAAUGCAUAACCAUAUGCUCUGAUACCAAUUGCUGAAAAAAUAUUAGCUUUAUGCCCUUAAUCUUGCAUUUCCAAGUAAACACAUGCAUUUAAUUAAGUUUCAAGAUUUUCCUUCAUUUGCCAUGAAUCUAAGCUUGUAAGUUUGUUAUGAAGCUUUUACAGUAGCCACGAACUAGAUUCAAACCUCUAAAUUUUCUUCUUUUCACCUUAGCUUAAGAUUUGAACUUUUAAAAUUUCGUCUUUCAUCUUAGCUCAAGAUUUGAGUUUUUUUCCUCAAAUUCACUGCACAUAUAUACACGGGAGAGGAAGAGAGAAAGAAAUAGAUUGUGCACUACACUCUUGCCUCAGCUUCUUCAACAGUAAAUUCCUAAUCGGCUGAAAUUCCUUAAAUAUUGUGGUUGAGUAUAGGGACUAACUCGUGUGUUAGUACAAAUUUGUUCAUCCCAUUAUGAGCUAAUAUAACACAAUUAAAGGUUAUAUUUGUUCAUAAUAUACUAUUGUAUAUGGUAUGUCAAAAUCAUACUCAUUAACACAAUAUUUGAUCACUUAAUAAAUGAGUCUAUCAAAAUUGCUCCUUAAUAUUUGACAUCAAUCACGUAUUAAUUCGGUAAAAUAUAGAAAACAAUUAGAAUGAUUUAUGCCGGCCCACAAAAUGUGAUAAAUAAAUCUAACAAUUAAUUCAUCUGGAUGUUGCACUAAACAUUUCUAGAUAUGUAGCCACUUAUGCACUGCCACCCUCGAAUUUUAUAAGCAUUCCCCCAUCAUUUAAUCUCAUUAUAUAACCAAAACUACUAGGGCUAAGCUACAACUUGUUACCAUUUAAAACUAUAGCCAAAAGCACUGAUUUUGACAUACCCUAUACAGUAGUAUAUUGUGAACAAAUAUAAUAUUUAAUUGUGUUAUUUUAGUUCAUAAUGGGAUAGGCAAAUUUAUACUAACAUAUGAGACAGUCUCUACACUCAACCACAAUAUUUAAGUAAUUUAAGCCCAUUGGGAGUUUACUAUUGACCAAGCGGAGGCAAGAGUAUAGUGCACAAUCUCUUUCUUUCUUUCUUUCUUCCUCUCCCGUGUAUGUGUAUGCAGUGAAUUUAAGCAAAAGCUCAAAUCUUGAGCUAAGGUUGAGCUAAGGUGAAAGAAGCAAGAUUCGGAGAUUUGGAUCUAGUUUGUGACUACCUAUAGAAGCUCCAUAACAAGCUUGCAAGCUCAGAUUCAUGGCAAAUCAACGUAAAUAUUAAAAUUUAAUCAAAUGCAUAUGUUUACUUAGAGAUGCAAGAUUAAGGGCAUAAAGCUCAUAUUUUUUUCAUCAAUUGGUAUCACAACAUAUGAUUAUGUCAUUCCUUGUAAACUAUGAUCAAUUUUGUUGAUGAAUAAAACUUAGCUCAGUCAUGAAAUUUUUUCUUUAAUUUCAAAUUUUUUAUUUUGGACAUAUUUGACCAAAAUGUUGUUGAAUAAUACAUGAGUAAUGAUUUUGGGGUAAAAAUACAAAAUUUUCAUAAUUUUUGGUGGCCAAAAUCGAGAUGGUAGGAGUAAGGGUUAUUGUAGCGCACUGUACAUUACUAUAGAUCCAUCCCGUGGUUGAAGAUAAGUUGUAGGGAUAAUAUCAUUUGGAUCCCUAAACUUUAUAACAUUUCAGUAUGGCUCAACAUUUGGAAACUAUUUGCACUUAAAAAUUCAAAUUUGGUUUAAACUUUUACACAUUUUUCAAAAGUGUCCUUGACCUAUGGUCAACGUGACAACAUAUCUUUUUAAUCCUUGAUAUUUUGAUAAAUACUAAUUUUGCCCAAUAACUUAUUAUAUUUUAUUUACAAUUUGGGACAAAAGUUUCGAUAUAAAAAAUAAUAACCAUAAUUAUAAAAAAUCUUCAUUUUAGUCCAAAAUCCUUACAAGUUUUGGCUAUUUUUCAGAAUUCCAAAUUUAAAAUAAUCCAUCAUUACUAGAUAUUAUGGGUCUAGCAUUCAUACAUUUCAUUGAGGCAUAUAAAUAUUUUAUUUGAUUUAAUAUUUUGGUAAAAACUUUAUUUGUAUUUGAUAAAGUUUAUUUAGUCUCAAUUUUGUUAUUUAUAUAUAAAUAAUGCAAAACUACAAUUUAGAGUGAAUGUUUAUAUAUCUAUCGUAUGACUAAUCAUGAUAAAUUAUUUGAUAUUUAUAAUCAAAUGACCAUUUAUAAUUAUUAUUAUGAAUUAUACGAUGGAUUAUUAUUCCUAUUACCGAGAUCCAUACGGAUGUUAUAUAUUGUUCUGUCGGUAAAUCACUACUUGGUAGAAUGCUUGAGUAGAUAAAUAGAUUUGUUGGGUAUUUUCUACUGAGUGACUUAAUUACCCUGUCGGUAAUAGGUCAAUGUUCGUAUUAUAUUCAACUUGUCUACUUUAUCUUUGAGUUAAUGCACUCUUAUAUUAUUAAAGGAUGCAUAACAUAUUAUGUUGCUACUAGAGAAAAUUAGAAUGAGGAGUCAUUGCUUAUAGCAUGAUUUUUUUUUUCGUAUGCUUCAUUUUUUUUUUAUUAUUGAUUCCUCAGCUCUAGAUGUUCUUUCUUUUCUCCAAGUUGCCUCCAUCAAGCUCUAACUCGGAUAAAUUACGAGGACUGGCGUGAGUCCAUUAUAUUUUAUCUGUCUACUUUAAAUAGAGACUUGGCAUUAAGAGUAAAUAAACCAACCAAGCCCACAGAUAAGAGCACUGCUUCUGAAAAAGUAGAGUGGGCAGCUUGGGAUGAAUCUAACAGACAUUGUUUGGACAAUUAGAGAUCAUUGAUAGAAUAAUUAGAGAUAGCAUCCCUACAUGUGACAAGGCCAAAGAUUACUUGGCAGCUGUUGGAAGAACUUUCAAGAAAGUAGAUAAAGCUGAAAAGGGUAAUUAUUUGAGGUUGCUUGCUAAUACUCAGUAUGAUAGUGUUUCUAGGGUGAGAGAGCACAUUUUAAAAAUGACCAAUUACCAUAAGAAACUAAAAGACAUGGAUGUCAAUUUGCCUGAUAACUACUUAGUCUUCCAAUUCUUAAAUCCCUUCCACCAUAGUUUGGCAGUCUAAGAAGCCAAUACAAUACUCAGAUAGGUGCUUGGAAUAUCGAUGAGUUAACUGCUUAUGUGGUUCAAGAAGAGGAAACAUUGAAGAAAGGACAAUCUCAAACUGCGAUGAUGGCUACUACUCAAGAAAGUGGCAGUGUGAAGAAAUGUUAUUCAAAGGAUAUCAAUAAGUUUUUUAAGACUAAGAAGUUUGGAAAGAAAACUUCACGUGACAAUUCUUCUACCACUUUUAGUUCCACUUCUGAAGGCUUUAAGAGAAAGUGUCAUUUCUUUAAGAAACCUAGGCACAAGAAAUCAGAAUGCAAGGGAUUCAAAGCAUGGCUGGAAAAUAAAGGUAUUCAUAUAGUUUUUAUGGGCUUUGAAUCUAAUCUUAUCGAUAUUCCUUCUAAUGCUUGGUGGUUGGUUACUGGUGCGACCAUUGAUAUAACGAAUUCCUUACAGAAAUUCAGAAACAGAAGGAAACUCAAUAAAAGAUAGCUAAUGGUUCACGUGGGCAAGGGAGUAAAAACUAGAGUUGAAAGUAUAUGAGUUGUUAGACUACACUCGCUACAUACCACUUUUUGGAUCUAUUGGAUACAGCUUAUACUCCUUCUAUUAGGAGAAACUUGAUAUAUGUAUCUAUUUUAGAGAAAUGUGGCUAUACUUUUCAUUUUGGUGACAGAAAAUAUUACUUAAUCCGUAAUUCAGAGCUAGUUGGUUCUGACACUAUAUGAUGGCUUAUAUAUGAUUUAUUUAUUUUCUCAUACUACUGAAUCAUCAUCCAAUGCUCAUGUUAUGAAUGUAGUUAGCUCUAAUCAUGCGGGGGUUGAUGAAAACUCCUCUAUGUUGUGGUAUAAACGGUUAUGUCACAUUUCUUAAUAAAGGAUGGAAAGACUUAUUAAAGAUGGCAUCCUCCACAAUCUAGAUUACUCUAAUUUUGACACUUGUAUUGAUUGUGUCAAAGGCAAACUUACUGUCAAAAUCAGAAAAGAUAGAACUCAAAGAAGUCAACAUGUGCUGGACUUGAUACAUACAGACAUUUGUGGGCCACUUACUCAUGCUGCUAUUGGAGGUUAUAGGUACUUCAUCACGUUCAAUGAUUUUUCUCGUUAUGGUCAUAUUGAACUUCUUACUGAAAAGUCUGAAUCUUUAUCUGCGUUUCAAGCAUUUAAGGCUAAUGCUGAGCUCCAAAAGGGCAAGAAAAUUAAAGCAAUAAGAUUAGACAGAGGUGGUAAGUAUUAUGGGCGAUAUGAUGAAACUGUGCGUAAUCCUAAACCUUUUGCAAGAUUUCUUUAGAAAUGUGGAAUAGAAGCUCAGUACACAAUGCCCGGGACUCUUGAACAUAAUGAAAUUGCAAAAAGAAGAAAUCGUACUCUUCUUGACAUAGUGCGAUGUAUGCUAAGCAACUCUACCUUACUAGAUUUUCAAUGGGGUGAAGCCUUAAGAACUCCAGUUUACAUGAAUCAGGUACCUAGUAAAUCAAUGCCCAAAACUCUUUAUGAAUUGUGGUCAAGGAAGAGACCGAGUCUUCGUCAUUUCCAUGUUUGGGGAUGCAGAGCAAAAAUAAUGUCUUAUAAUCCACAAUCAAGGAAACUUGAUCUGAAAACUAUUAGUGGUCAUUUUAUUGGCUAUUAUAUAGGCUCAAAGGGUUCUACAUUUUAUUGCCCUUCCCACACUACUAGAAUCAUUGAGUUUGAUCGUGCCAUUUAUUUUGAGUAUGAUCACAAUAGUGGGAGUUCUGAGCCUUGCAAUCUUACAUUGAGAGAAGAACAUAUAGUUUUGCUUAUUCCACAUUUUCUAACUUCUGCGAUGGGAUUACCACGUACUGAUGUUUCUUCUGUUAAUCAUGAACCUCAUCAUGAUAUGGAGCUUAUAACUGUAGAGGAUGAUGUUACUGAUAUGCAAUUGAGGGAUGAGAAAGGGUCAAGAGAUCUAUAAUUUCUGAUGAUUGUGAGGUUUAUUUGCAGGAACAUGAUUUUGAUACUAACUUGUCAUCUAAUCUUGUUACCUUUCAGAAGGCUAUCGGUUGUUCAAAAUCCUCAUCUUGGAUACGAGCGAUGCAUGAUAAGAUGGCAUCUAUAUACCAUAAUGGGGGUUUGAGAUUUAGUUGAAUUGUCAUAUAGAUGCAGACUAAUUGGUUGCAAAUGGGUUUUCAAAACGAAGAGAAAUGCCAGAGGUCAGGUAGAAAGACAACGAUGUGGCCAAGAGUUUCAGUCAAAGAGAAGGCAUUGAUUAUACAUAAAUCUAUUUUCUCGUUUCUACCAAAGACUCUUUCCGUAUUAUCAUGACAUUGGUAGCUCAUUUCAAUUUAGAACUGCAUCAAAUAGAUGUAAAGACAUUUUUUCUUAAUGGAAGCUUGUCUGAAGACGUGUACAUGCUAAUACCUAAUGGUUUUGUUGAGCGUGGUAAAGAAAACAUGGUGUGUAAGCUUAAAAGGUCUAUUUAUGGACUUAAACAAGCAUCCAGACAAUAAUAUUUGAAAUUUUAUGACAUUGUCAUCUCUUAUGGGUUUCAGGAGAAUGUUGUUGAUCAAUAUAUAUACUUGAGGGUCAGUGGAGCAAAUAUAUUAUUUUAGUGCUAUACGUGGAUGAUAUAUUUCACGUUGUUAAUGACAUUAAUUUUUUACUUGAGACAAAAUAAAUGUUGUCAUGCAAUUUUGAUAUGAAAUAUCUCGGUGAAUCUCAUUAUCUAUUAGGGAUAGAAAUUCUUCGUGACAGAUUUAGAAGAGUUCUAGAAUUGUCUCAAAAGGCCUACAUUGAUCGUAUUUUGAAAAGGUUCAACUUACGGUCUUAUGCUCCUGGAAAAGCAUCAAUUUCAAAAGGUGACAAACUUUCCAAGUCUCAAUGUCCAGAUAAUGAUGUAUACAAAGCUAGAAUGCAAACAGUCUCAUAUGCAUCAGUUGUGGGUAGCUUGAUGUAUGCUCAAAUUUGCACUCGCCCUGAUAUCACCUUUACAAUGGGAGUACUUGGGAGAUACCUAAGCAAUUCUGGAUUUGAACACUAGAAGGCUGUAAAGAAAGUGCUCAGAUAUUUGCAAGCCACCAAAGAUUUUGCUUUGAAAUAUCAACAAUCUGAUUAUUUAAAUAUAGUUGGAUAUUCUAAUGCUGAUUUUGCAAGAUGUUUAGAAGAUAAUAAAUUCACAUUUUGUUACAUCUUCAUUAUGGCAAGAAGAGCUAUAUCAUCAAAAAGUGCAAAGCAGACACUUAUAGCUUCUUCAACAAUGGAGACAGAAUAUGUAGCAUGUUUUAAGGCUACACAUCAAGCUUUAUGGAUGCAGAAUUUUAUCGCAGCGUAUUGUAUUGGUUGUACCAAGACCAUUAAAAAUAUAUUGUCAUAAUUCUGCAGUUGUUUCUUUUUCUCACAAUACAUGGAGUUCCUCACAUUCUAGACACAUUAAUGUUAAAUAUUUAUUUGUGAGAGAGAAAAUUACUCUAUCUUAUGUAUCAGUAGAGUACAUACCUACAAAACUCAUGUUACUUACUAAAACUUUAGCUCCAAAGUGUUUAGGGAGCAUGUGACUCAUAUGCAAUUAUUAGAAUCCACUUAUAUAUGCUUAGUCAGUGAGAGUUUUGAUUUGUAUUAUGAGUUACAACUUAAAUGAGAUUAUGUAUUACUCAUUUUGUUAUUAUGCAUGCAUAUUGUUAUGUGACAUUGAUAUGCCAUAUAUUGUGUACACAUUUAGUUGAGUAUGACAUUAUGUAUACAGUGACGAUAUUGUGGUCCGAGACAUUUUGUUUAGUCUCAAUAUGGACAUUAUGGACUGAAGCAUUAUGGCUUGGCUUCAUAAUACUUUCUUGAGACAUUUUGUUUCAGUCUCAUUAUGGUUAUAAAAAAGCACGGCUUCCUUUAGACAUCUUGGUAUUAGUCUCAUUAUAAUGAAAAGGAAGCUCAUUUUUCGAGAUAUUUUGAUCGAGUCUCCUUAUGGUUGUGAAGAAGCGAUAGUCUAGGAGACAUUUUGUUUUCGUCUCAUUUUGCUAGACAUAUGGACUUUAUGGAAAUGAGUAUGUUGAUCACAUUGUCACGCUAUUUCCAUAAUUAUACUUGUAUACUACUAUAUAGUCACGUGUUUUUAGGUAUCUUGUUGUAUGUAGCAUCUGAUCGGUGCAUAUAUGAUUUUGGUACUUAUGGCACAUUUGGAACUUAUUUAUGUUUUGGGUGAUUGCUAACAUUUGACUUUUUGUUAUAGUCAUAUAUUGAUUAAUUUGGUUGUUUUCAAAAUAUUUAUUUUAUUUUAUUUUAAAACUAUCAUUAGAAUGACUAGCUGUGUUCUAGUUUUAAAUAGUAACAAGCUGGAGCUUAACCCUAGUAGUUUUGUCAUAUAAUGGGAUUAAAUGAUGGGGGAAUGCCUAUAAAAUUCGAGAGUGACAAUGCAAAAGUGGUUACAUAUCUAGAAAUGUUUAGUGCAAUAUCCAAAGGAAUUAACUAUUAGAUUUAUUUCUCACAUUUUAUAAAUUGACAUAAAUCAUUCUAAUUCUUUUCUAUAUUUUAUCAAAUUAAUACGUGACUAAUGUCAAAUAUUAAGGAGUAAUUUUGACAGACUCAUUUAUUAAGUGAUCAAAUAUUAUGUUAAUGAGUCUGAUUUUAAUAUACCCUAUAUAAUAGUAUAUUGUAGAUAAAUAUAAUAUUUAAUUAUAUUAUUUUAACUCAUAAUGAGAUGAACAAAUUUAUAUUAACACAUGAGGCAGUCGCUACACUCAACCAUAAUAUUUAAAUCAUUUUAGCCCAUUGAAAAUUUAUUAUUGAACAAGCUGAGAACAAUAGUAUAGUGCACGAUCUCUUUCUUGUUCCCUUCCUCUCCUGUGUGUGUGCAGGGAAUUUGAGCAAAAAUUCAAAUCUUGGGUUAAGGUGAAACAAGCAAAAUUCAGAUAUUUGAAUCUAGUUCGUGAUAGAAGCUAUAUAAUAAACUUACAAACUCAGAUUCAUGACAAAUUAAACUAAAUCUUAAAAUUUAAUUUAAUGUGUGUGUUUACUUGGAAAUGAAAAUGUAAGAUUAAAGGCAUAAAACUCUUUUUUUUUCUAUCAUCAGUAAAAGCUCCUAUUUUUCAUCCAUCAGAGUGCAAAUACUUACAAAAAGCUCGCGAAUCCGUAUUGGGUAAUGGCUUCGAUUGUUCCAUCUGCAUUAGCAUCGGCUUCCACCACUCCUCCUCCAUCGCAAAUCUGUAAAUCGCAAGUCUUCCGCUUACAAGUCCCUACCAGCUUCACGCUGCAAUGAAAUUACACAAUGAUAAUAUUGAUCGUGUUUUUCGGAAGCCAAUUUAAAUUUUGAAAUAAAGAACGAAUAAAUAAAUUAUAAUUUCUCACCACUAACUUUCGGUUGCCUUACUGGUGAGUCCCUAAAUUACUCAUUAGCCCUACUUUCAGCCAUCAAAUUCACGGCUGAAAUGGAUUGUGAGAGUAAGUAGCUGCCACCUGCUGCAACGGUUAUCAGUGGGGGUGUAAAAUUGUAAAUGACCAAAGAAAUAACGUCAGCCGUUAGAUGAAACAAUCUAAAAUCCAACGGGUUUGCCGAAUUUAUAAAUUCUGUCACUGAAGAGAGUAAAGAGACCCUUGAAACGUUUCAAAAGAAAGCAAAAUGGCAGUGGCGGCAAGAGGACAGGGGUUUGUACUGUCGCGGCCGGUCACGUUCGUAACGGGGAACGCCAAGAAAUUGGAAGAAGUGAAAGCCAUAUUGGGGCAAUCCAUUCCCUUUCAGUCUCUCAAGCUUGACCUGCCGGAAUUGCAAGGGGAGCCUGAAGAUAUCUCCAAAGAGAAGGCUCGUUUGGCUGCCAUUCAAGUUAACGGCCCUGUGCUCGUUGAAGAUACUUGUCUCUGCUUCAAUGCCUUGAAGGGUCUUCCUGGCCCUUACAUGUAAGUUUUUUUUUCCCCCUCCCAAAUUUCAAUGAAAAUAAGUUAUCUUUCAAUUCUUAUUUGUUGACUAAUGAAUUCCUAGUACUUUAUUUUCAAAUGGGUUACAAUUAGAAAUUGGUAAAUUGGUCUUUACACCUAAAGUAUGAAAUCAAUGUCAAAUAUCGGAUCAGUCUCUGGCCUCGCUUAGGGGAACACAAUUUGGUUAGAAUAACACUCCUAACGUAUGAAUGUGUAUUACUUUUUUUAUCCGUAGCUAACACAAUGUAGCAAUGAUAUGUAUGAGAUGAUCGGAGUUAACUGGGCCAAGGUUUUUGGGCAAAUUAUGUGUAGUAUGAGCUAAUGAGUGUUAGUUUACUCCCAUUAUAUGCUUCAUUUCUAUAUCAUAGUCAGAAUGAGUUCUUGCUAGGAAAGUUCAAAGGUUAUUUUUUUUGGCCACUUUGAAGACUGAUAGAGAGGAAAGAUUCUAUGGAUCGGUUGGUUUUAGUAUUGUCAUCCCAAAGUCAGUAGUGGUCAGGUUUCGUAGGUAUGAUACCUGUGAAUUAUACUCUAAUUGCUUAAUGGAUCCAUAGAUACCCACAGAUUCAAUGCUAUUUACCAUGGCUUCUCGUUAUAGUAAGCGUUGCAAUAUUUAGGAGAUUUUUAUGUGCUUGCAGAGUGCCUGAGUGGCAUCCUUGAACCGAAUUUUCUAUUCUUUCUUAUGCUGAAUGGCUUGUCCUCAUCCUUAGCUAUUGUUUCCUUGUCUUUUAUUUGAAGGUGCUCCAAGUACCUAUCUUGGCUUGCUGAUAAUAAAGUUUGAAUCCCUCCUCUGUAGGAUAAAUUUUUGUAGAAAAGGUUUUGGGUGGGGGGGGGAAGGAGAAGAAAGUUAGGAACACGUUUAUUUUGAAAUUUCUUUUAUUACUUGGAAAUCACAAUCAUGAGAACCUUCGGAGAUAAAUUGAGUCACAUGGUCUAAAUGCAUUGGUAAAACGGUUGUUGAAGUUGUAAUUUUGAUUUCAUUUUGAACUCGUUAACUUCCAUUGUCUUGGGCUUGAAGCAUGGAAGAGGGUUGCCGUGUUUCAACAGUUGAAAUGAGGAGUGCUAAUUUCCUUAGUUGUGUGAUUGUUCAUCUUUGAAGACGAAGUUGAUUGGGAACUGUGCCAAAUUGUUGAUUUGGUGUUAGUAAUGGCUGGAUCAAGCAGUGUGAGCUUAUACUUGGUUGCGUGACCUCUGUCGAUCAAAUAUCAGUUUUCUUGGGUUUUCAGCAAUGCCACUGAGGACAGGGCUGGGUGGAGCCCUAUGCCUUCAGUGACCCUGGCCCCCCACCAAAAAAAGAAAAACAUUUGCUCCUUGGUUAAAGCUGUUAAAGAUAUGGCCCCUAGGUAUUAUAUUUUUGACGCUAUAACUCUACAUUCUUGUGUAUGGGGCCAAUAUAGAAAACUUGCUCCGCCAGUGGCUGAGGGAACCAUUUUCCUAGCCAAAGAGUUGCUAAAAACUUCAAUAAAUGACUUUCAAUUUAGAAUCUUUGUUUUUGUGAUUUUAUUGUUUAUCUGUCGUUUAUCUUUGUUUCAUUUGACAUCUUGUAGCAUUGCAUGAUUAUUUUAUUUCUUUGUGCUCAAAAAUGUUUUUCUGUAUAGCAUACUGUAGUUCAGAAAACCUUAAAAGAAGGAAUAAAGAAAUCUCUUAAAUAUUCUUUUAUUUGCUGUGGAAUUUUGCGCUUGUUUCCAUAUCUUUCUUAUGUGUUAGAAACUUAAUGCUUUUUCUUGGUAUGUCAAAGUUUGUCAUUGUUGUUUGAACAGUUCUUAAGUUAUGUUCAGAAAUUUCACAAUUUCCCUAACUUAAGUUUAUUCAUGGUAAAUAGUGUAAAACUUAAUAGUUUGAGUAAAUAGUAGAUUACAUUUCAUGGCUUCAAAAAUCUCAAAAAGCGGUAAGUGGUUGAGAGUAAAUAUAAAUGUAUUAGAUAUGGUGAUCUAUUCUUGGACAUAAUCUCAACUGUUCUUAUCUUUGCUGUUUAAUUAUAUAUGGUACUUGAAUUAGUAUGAGGUGGAGAAAUUGCUUAAAAGUUGUCUUUGUUACACCUCUCUGCCAUUGGUCUUAUGGUUUCCUGACGUUUGCUGUGUGCACAGAUAUGUUUGAUUCCAUUGUGCAUUGGCAUACAAUAGUUUACUUCUAUUCCCAAGCAUAUUGCUGAAUUACAUGCCUUACUAUUUGGGACAGAAAUGAGAGCAAAACAAUACAAUUUCUUUACCUAUACUCUUGCCUUAGUGUAUUGUCCAGAGCCAAAUAUAUACCCCAUUAUUAGUUCCACCAAAUGAUUGAAAAUAUAUAUAUGAAGCUAGAGGUGUACAGCAGUUGUUUGGUAAUCUUCUUUACUGAAUUAAAUACUAUUCACCCGCAAAUAAAUGCAUUGCAUCUUCGUUACAGGGGAAAUAUUAACUUUGAGCCAGUUACAAGCUUCCUGCUUGGAUUUGCUUAUACUCCAACUCUGUCCUUUGAGGAUUAUUGAACAGUUCAUUUUUGUAAAUAACUUAUCUAAUCUCUUUUUUAUGAAAUUAUUUAGGAGCUUCUUUAUACGUAUAAUUUUCUGAUUUCUAGUCUAAUAAAUAUCUUUCUAUUAUGUUUCAAAAAUUAUAAUAAACAAAACUGAAAUCUACAGUUACUACUAAAUUUUUGUUAAUUUUCAUGCCAAGGAUUUUGUGCUGAGGGACGAGCUUUUAUAUUUUAUUUAUGGCUUUUAUAGAUGGGUUUGAUUAAAUUUCUUAUCUUUGGAAACAGGAUGCUGUGCUUUCUUCAGGCCUUCUUUUUUAAGAAGACAAUGUAGCAUGAUCUCUGAUUAUUGUUUAAUGUGAUUUUCUAAUCUUGCAGCAAGUGGUUCCUGCAGAAGAUUGGUCAUGAAGGUUGUGACUUACAUUUCUACUUCUUUCAUUUUUGUCUCUGUAACCUUCUGUUAAUUUGUCACUAUCUGUAGCUGAUUUUGGUACUCUUUCUUCUUUAUUUUUUUCAUUUUGGUUUCUUUCCUUUUUUUGGUAGGUCUGAACAAUUUGUUGAUGGCAUAUGAGGAUAAAUCUGCUUAUGCGUUGUGUGGAUUUGCUUUUGCUCUUGGGCCCAACAUUGAGCCCAUUACUUUCUUAGGGAAAACUCCGGUAUGUCUAAUGAGUUUUCUUUGAUAUUUUCAACAUUUUUACAUACAUUAUAUAGAGGACACAUUUUAAAAAAUGUUUUAAAAUAUUGAAUGUUGCUUAGAAUAUUUCAUAACGUUCAUUGGUGUUUCUCUUUCUCUUGCAAAUGCUUUUCAAUCCACAAUUCACUACUUAAGUAGUAAAAACAAGUUGAUGGUACUCUUUUUUUUCUUUUUAAUAAAAAAUAGUUGUAAAGACUCUUUUGUCAUUACUCAUGCCUGAUUUUUGCUUUAACAUUAUUUGCUCUCUAGACUGCCUGAUGUUAAAAGUAGCAUCUCUAACUUAUGGGUUUGUGGCUGAUAUUUUCAGGGUAAGAUAGUUCCUGCUAGGGGUCCCAAUGAUUUUGGAUGGGAUCCAAUCUUUCAACCCGAUGGUUAUGACCAAACGUAAGCCCAUUCUUUCACUUAAAUUUCUGCUGUUCGUGUGAUCGUGUCAGCUGUCCAUUACCAUAUUGCUGAUUGUAAUUUGUUUGCUAGUAGCCCAUAAUUGUUCAGCCAAGUUGUAGAUGAAUUUAUGCUUUUGUUUUUCCAUUUUCUCUUUUAAGUUAUGCGGAGAUGGCAAAGGAAGAAAAGAACAAAAUUUCUCAUCGUUCCAAGGCUCUUGCUAUGGUGAAAUCCCACUUUGCUGAAGCUGGAUAUACUUUUCAGAUGGACACAUCCACAUGAAUGAACUGUAUAGGUUAGACAGUCAAAUGCUUUAUCUCUAUUUGUGUCUUCUGGUGGAAGGGAUAAAGCAAAGCCUGCAGAUUAUUUAUCCAUCCUGGCUUGCGUAGGACAAUCCAUGGGUAACUUUUCCUUACAUAUGUGAUUGUCUAGUGAAACAAAUGAGCUUGCAACUUUCGGUUAAUUUGUUCUGCGGUUGAACUUUAACGUCAGUCAUCAUUUUGAACGAAAUGCUCUGUAUAAAUAGAGCAAGAAGCUGUUCCGGUCACAAAUGGUUAAUAGAAUAGAAAGGAAAUAGCGAUCAUCACUCAUUGAACCCAUAUCUCUUUGUGCUUAGAAUCUUGUUCACAGUUUUCUAUAUGAAGUUUAUAUCAGCCAUUUUUUGUCUGAAUACAACGAAAUAGAUCCAAGAGUUUCAAGUUACGAAUCCUCUAGUUAAUGAUUUUAACUUUAUUGUUUGCAUAAUUGCUUCCUCUCAUGCAAUUUUAGAUGGUAUUAUUACCACUCUGUUUUAAAUGAUGCUAGAUAGAUAGUCUUGUAGCUCCAAAAAUGAGGGUAGUGGGGACAAAAUCCCGAGUUUGGGGCUGCAUACUGAGUGAGACAAAUCAACCUACCAGCAAUAAUGGAUUAAAAGAAGAGAUAAUUAAGCAUAAAUUGUUAUGUAAAGUAGAAACAAUUCUGAGACACGCCAUGGCAUUUGGGGUUCUACUCCAAUGACUAAAAUUUUUACUCAACGCUGCUUUUACGGCUCUCAAUAAUGUUGUAUUGUUGUUGUUCAAGGCUUGUUUUGUAAUUAAACUUCAGUAACCGUUGCAAAAAGCAUUAACAUGGGUCAUAAAUAAUGUUGCAGGGAUCCGACUUUACUAUUUUUAAUUCAACUGUGAAGUUCCCAAAAAGUGCAUGCCUGCCCAAAAUUGUGAGAAUUUAGCUUCGUUUUUACAGUUACAGGUAUAACAACAAAAUGAGUUGGAUGUAGGGCUUCUUUUAUCAGAAACAGAUAACAGUUGAUAAUUUAUUCGGGUAUCAUGACAGGACCACAUGUAAUCUGAAUCCGAAAUGGGUGUUAUUUCCAGUACUUUGUUGUUGGCUCAUACCGUACUACUUGAAUUAAUGACUAUGCAAGAUUCACAAGUCCGGUACCAAAUUGUUCAACCAAAAUACCUCACUUAUUUAUUAUGAAACUGCGCUGGUUGGAAAAUCACAUCGCAGUUUCAAGUAAUUAGUGGGGCAAGCUCAGUGCUUACAACGGUUGUAUUGCAGACAAGCACCAUUAAUUAAGAUCUUUUGUCAAGACAUAAACCCCAAAAUUAUACAUUUGAGCAAGAGGAGUUUAAAAUUGAGGAUGGACAUAACAACAUGUGGAAAACAAUAUUGUGCAGAAGUAGAAGCAAGAAGUUGGAAGGGAAUGCCAAAAUCAUCUGCAAAUGCUUAAUGCAAAAGUGGUGGGUGGAGACGGCCUCAUGGUCCCAUGUAUUUUUUUUUCAAGCAAAGAGCUUCUCUCACCACAUGCCAUAUGGGCCCUACAAACACAUGCAUUGCCAUGUGAAAUAACACAUGCAUCACCUUCCACAUGAAUUUAGGGCUCAUUAGUCAUGCAUCACCUUCCACAUCAAUUUAAGGCUCAUUAGUCAUGCAUCACCUUCCACAUGAAUUUAGGGCUCAUUAGUCAUGCAUCACCUUCCACAUGAAUUUAGGGCUCAUUAGUCAUUACUACUUCUAGUUGGAUCAUAUCAUCCAGUUCAUCAUCAACCACCUCAGCAUAACAACAAGCUCAAUCUGAUUGUUAAAAGUGUGUAGCUGUGCCUGUGCAGGACAUGCUUGUUAUUUAAUUCCUUCAGAGUAUCACUGUUCAAUUAUUCUUUACACACUUAGGGGGUGAAAAAGAUCUAAUAAUUGUAGCUGGAAAAUUUUGGAUCAAAGCUCAUCAUUGAUUAUGCCACUGUUUUGAUUUAGAAUGUUAAGAUAAUUUGUAAUGGAAACUAAAGUGAUUUUGCAAAGCUUUAAAGAACUUUUCUGUGGAUAGCAUCAUUUUGGUAGGACCAAAAAAAGCUUAAAAGAAAAAGCUCAUCAUGUUAAGUUAGUUAAUAACUUUAUGUGCAUGUGAGUGUGCAGGUUAUGCACAUGAAAGAAUCACAACUGCUGGUAAGUAAAAGAACACAAAUAAUGGUAACACUAACACACUUAUGUCAUAAAGGUAAUAGCAAUUCCACAAACAAAAGUAAAAGAUUGCUUCCAUUUGAAAGAAAAAGCUACAAAAAGAAAAGGUAAAGAAACAUCACUGGUAUUGCUAUGCAUCAUUUGUAACAAAGUUCCUUUUUUAAUAAUCCAAGUUUUUGCAUUCAAAUACUGUUGACUAUAUGACUAGACACAACAAAGGAGCGGGGAGAAAAAAGCACAAAAUCAUUCCGACCCUAUAAACCCAAAAGCCAAAAAUGAAAAAGAGAGUAUGUAGAGAGACCAAGAUUGACAGUUGACACAGUUGACAGCUGACUGACACUGGACACAAAUAGGCAAGUGCUAGUUAGAAGGAAAUGAGAAUUGAGGCUGAAAAAAGAGGCCAAAGAGGGAAAAUAAAAUGAACAACGCUUCCGCACCUGCUUCUGGGAAUGCAAAUGUUUGUUUUUUCAGUUGAAGCAGGCCGAGGUUGAGCAAGUAACUGAUAAACAAACUGGGUGAGGCAAUACAAUGACAUGUGCAAUAAUGUACACUUGUCAAAAUAUGUGAAGCAGAUAUACGGUAGAGAUUGAAACAAUGACCAGAUUGUGGAUAAAUUGGAUAGGUGAUAUACUAUAUAGAAGAAAAAUGAAAAACAAAACAGAAAUUCGAUGGCCAUUUCUUUUUUCGGCCAAUUUAAUGAUGAAUACUAUGAGCACUGACGGCUCUUGCGGCAAGUAAGAGCACCAGCACCAGAAGUAAUGGAUCCAACCAUGGAGGAAGACUUGGCUCCCAAGCUUGAAGCACGAGCAUAGCUAGCUGAGGCUCCUGCUCCGGAUGGGGUAAAGUAGGCACCGUUCAGCAAGAGGUCUCCUUCAGAUCUCCAGUUCCAGCCCUUCCACUGGCUUGCAGCUGUGUCCACCCUCUUUGUUACCUGUGAAUGCAAAUCCAGUUGUGAGAAUAAGCAAAUUGAACAUUGCAGAUAGUCUUAUUGUAUAGACAAAAGACAAUAUGUGAGAUGUGAGAGUUGAGACCUCCUUUGCGAAGGCAUUCAAUGGAGCAUUGUAUCUGUUUCCCUGGCUGUUGAUGGUGGGGUUUGCACUUCCACCAAUGGCAUACAUUUCCCAGUGAGUGUAGUCAUUGUUCACCACAUGGAAAUAACCAUGUCUACACCUGAAUUAUUCAUCAUUAAAUUCCUCGUUAGCUCCAGUCAAACUUGAUUUCAAAUAGUGCGAAAGUUAACAUGGAGUAAGGUCUCCAUUCAUCUCCCAACACAUUUCAUGAGCUUGAGUUCAACAAUACCUUGGCAUUCUCUGAAUGAGUCCCUCUCCAAAAUGGUUGUAAGCAAUGGUUACUUGCAUUUGCUUGUCCCUGGUGUAGGAAUCACUGUGACCCAGCAGCAUAACCUGCAUUUAAUCACCACCAUUAAACAAAAUGACUUGGCAUUUUUGCUUAUUAAGAAAACAAGUUAGAGUAAACUGGACUACUGGAAUAUGCUGUAAAGACAGACCUCAUUGUGGUGGGUCAUGUGAUUGUUUGAAAUGGUAAUGGCAGUAGAUCCCAUGACGGCAUCAACAAGUCCAUCAGCACAAUGGGAGAGUGAAUUGUGAUCAAUCCAUAUAUGGCUAGAGCCAAAAAUUGAUAUGGCAUCACCAUCAGCCACUGUCCUCCACCCAUAGUGAGUCGGUGAGCUCCUAACCAUGGCAUUACCAGUGGGUUUACAGUCAUGAACGUGAAGACCGUGAAUGAUCACAUUGGUCACAAAUUGGAUAGUGAUGCAACCUCCAUUAGCAAUGUGCACAUUCGCCCCACGACCAUCAAUGGUCUUGAAGCUAUUGACAAUCAGUUCCUGUUUCAAUUGAAUCACCAUGUCCCUCUUGAAAACAAUCCAGAGAGGCUUAUCCUGGAUAACAGCAUGGCGUAAAGUUCCAGGUUUGGGGUUAACAGGGUCAUCAUCCCUUGGGUCAGUGACAACAUAGAAGCGACCAUCACGGCCACCAAUGGCAUUUCUUCCAAAACCAAUCCCACAGUCUGCAAGACGCUUGCGGUUCUUGUGCCAGUUGCCGUCACAGCGCCAGCAGUCAUCAAUGGGAUUACCAGUACCACAGGAGAAGUACCCCAACUUUCUCCUUUCAGUGCUGUUGCGGGUGCUCCUGAAAUAACAUUAAAUUUAUUGUUAUUAACAUGAAAAAUGCUCUGAAUUAUUAGAAUACAAUUGCAUCUUAAUUUCUCAAGUCCAAUGUCAAAAUCGUUAGCAAGGUAAUUGCAUCAUACUGUUAUUUUUACAGUUCACUAUCUUGUAAAGAAAAAGAUUCUAUGUGUCGGUGGCAGUGAUUAUUCCCAUUACCCGCAUCUCCUGUGCUCCAUCAGCCAAAACCAAUGAGGGUACAGAUAGCACGUAAAGACAAAAGAAGGAUGCUUUUUGGUCAAUUUGUGAGAACGAUCAGUAACGGAUAGAAUUGAAUCUCUCUGUAGUGCAGGAAACAAAAAAGCGUAUUCGUACGCUGUCUUUGUCAUUUAGCCCACAUACACAUGGCUGAACGCCAGAACCCAUCACAUGCAAUCUCAAAACAGAAAUUUUCAUAACCCAAAAAAUAACCCCUUUUGCCAUUCAAAUAAAGUUCAUGAUUCAGUUGAUAUUAAACGGCAAAUCAACUAUUAAAACAGAAACAAAAGAAGUCAUACAUGGACAUCUAUUUAAAAAAGGAAAAAAAAAAAAAAGGAUUGUACGUUUUAAUUAGUAGUAGUAGGUGAAAGAGACGCAAGAAUUUAUGUCCGUUGAACACGGAUCUGUCAAUAGCGUGUAAAAAGCAGAGCAAGAACGUGAAGGGUGAUAUACACUGAUACUGAUACUGAUACUGUUAUGAUAUCGGUUUCUUAAGCCUUCAAAAAGGGAUAAUUUUCACAAAACGACAAGGUUAAAACAGAGAAAAUAACCAAUAGUUUCAAGCGUGUUCAAACUCUAUCCCCGAAAUAGUAACUGGGUUUUUAAUACAAAUAGGCGCGUUCGGUAAUAUUAAUUACUUAUAAGGACCACAACGCGACCAGAAUAACCCCCUCCACCUACUAGUGCCCCCAUUUUUCCUUUUAUUGGUAGUGAAUUUAGUGAGAUUCUUCAGGUACUUUAACAAGAAUUGCAAAUUAAGUGAAAUUAG
rnacentral:lncRNA from 1 species